rnacentral:lncRNA from 1 species
UAAUGUUAUUUUUAUAAAAAUGUUAUUUUUAUAAAGAGUUAAUUAUAUACAGUUUCUAUAAAUAUAGCGAAUUAUGAAUGUAUGCUUAUAAAGUUCAACUUUCUUAUAUUAUUUCUGUAAAAAAUUUAAUAUUUUCAAAUAUGCCACUGUUAUUAGGAUUUGUUAGAAAAUUUUAGUUAACCAUAGAAAAAAUACUUAAUCCUAAUUAGCCAAUGAGAUAAAUUGAUAUUUUUAUCCCUCUGAUAUUAUAUCUUAUUCUCUCAAUAAAAAUCUAGCAAUGGGUACUCUUCUUCUUCAUCUUCGUCUUUUUUUUCUCCUACAUGCUAGUUUCGAAUCCAUAACUAAAAUUUCUCCAUCCUAUUCAUCCAUGAUGCAUGUUAUUUAAUUCGCCCAUUCAAAAUUGUGUGGCUUCCCCAUUUAAUUUAUUCUAUGAUUAUUUUUUUUGCUAAAAAAAUUUUAGGAGAAAAGAAGUGAGAGAAGAGGUUAUAACAAUGAUGGAUUGAAUUGAAUUUUAAAGAGAAAAAAGAUAACCACUGAAAAUUUUUUAGGAAAAUAUUACUGCACGAUUAUAACAGUUGGGCUUUUGAAGGGAUAUAUUUGUGAUGAUAAAAUUGACAUUUUACUUAUCUGCUGUUAAAAAAUAAAUAGUUUUCUAGCAGUAACAAAUCAGACUGACAAAUAAGAAUAUCACUGAACUUUUGCAGGAAUAAUAAUUAAAAAUUGAACUUUGUAAGGAUAUAUUUACAAUUCGCUAUGUUUAGAGAAAGUUGUAUGCAAUUAACCUUUUUAUAAACUACUAGUAUAUUAGUUAGCAUUUAUAGCAUUCUUAGUUUGUACAUGUAUGAACCAAGUAAAAUUUUUAUGUUGCAUAUGACAGGAUUGUUAAAAUAUAAAAAAUAUAUUAUUUUUUAAAAAUUUAAGCUAUCAAAAAAUAAUAUUGUUAAUAUAUAUAUAUAUAUAUAUAUAUAUUCUCUAACAUUUAGACUCGAAAUUUUUGAUAGAACUAAUAUGUAAAUUUGAAUUAAAUUAAAAAAAAUAAUUAAAUAAUGCUAGAAUCGAAUUCAAUACUUCUUAUUCUGAUCUCAUAUUAAAUUUUAUUUUAUACAAUAAUUAUUAUUUUUAAAAAAUUUAAACUACUAGUGAAUAAUAUUUUAAUAUUUAUGUUUGACAAGUGCAAGAGUAGCGUAUUAACGCAGCAAAUUGUAAGAAAUGUAUCUAUACUUAAUUGGAUUCAUAAGUGAAGCCCCAAUCACAGGUAGAGGCGUGUGCUAAUGUGCGAACAAUUUUAAUUCGGAAUUUUAUACUUAUUAUUAUUCGUGGGAAUAUCCAGUUCUCGUCCAGCCUCAAGCUCGUUAAUUUUCCUAGACCAUUAUAUAUACACAUAAUGAUAGCAAAAAUAAAUAAAUAAAUAAAUAAAAGAAAUUUAAAAAACCUUUUCCUACAUCCCUAUUAUUAUAUUUACUCAAAUUUUCUAAAAAAUAUAUAUAUUUUGAAUGAGCAAAUGAGGAAACACACAUCUUGUUAUGCCGCAAAAUAAACAUGGGCAUAAUACUUUUAAAAUCUCCCUCUGUGGCUCUGUGGGAUAAUCAGUGUUUAUUAAUUAUUGUUGACAAAUUUAAAAAACAGUACAAUCAAAAAGCGAAAAAAAAGCUUUUGCUCUGAAAUUCUAAGGAAGCAAGAAAAAAUUUCUACUAUCUUUUUUUUGUGUAUUGUCAAACUUAUGCAUUCAACGUGCACAUAGAAUUUAUGUUUGAAGAAUUUUUUUUUUUUUUUUUAAAAGGACAAUAUUGGGCCUUGUAUGAGGGCUAUUAUUAAAUUAAAUAAAGAGCCCGCUAAGCCCAUUUAAGGCCUGACCCAUGUACGGGGCUCGUCUUAUUGUUUACGAUUCGAACACACCGUCGUUUUCCUUUCACUGUUUCACUCCGCCACUCUCACGUUCGACGCUGGAGGGAACGCCCAAAAUCAAAACGCAAAGCUUCGACUGAUCCCUCACUCCACUGAGAGGAACCCUAACCCUUGUUCCCGAGGCUAAUGGCGAGCGAGCCGAGUAGAGAAACCCUAACCCUAGCCCUGGGGAAGCGGAAGAUCGCGGAGGAGGAGGAGGAGGAGGAGGAGGAGGACGAAGAGGAGGAGGAGAGGGAGAUCCGUGAGCUCGAGCGCGAGGUGGGCGAUUUGGGCCGUAGGAUCUUGGAUUACCGGAGGACGAUCCCGGAUCGGCUCCUCGAGGCUCUCUCCGCAAGCCUCGUCGCGCAGAGGCCGCUUCUUCCGCCGCAGAGCGGUAGCGGAUCCUUUCCCUCCGACCUAUCCCUCGCGCCCGAUAUCGGUGGCAAUCGAACUACUGGUACGAUUCUAGGGUUUCCGUUAUCAGGAUGUUGUUUGGUUUAAAUCCUUGUGUUCAUGUUAGGGUUUGAAGCUCAUAAGUAGUUUCAGGGUUUUUAUGUGCAAUUUUGUUUCGUAUCAUGCAUAUAAUUAGGUUAAAUGAGAAUGGGUAUAGUGAUGCUUUGCUUGUGGAUAGUAGAGACACAAAAUUGGAGUCUGUGGGACGAGGUUUUAGAAAGUGAACUAUCCUACAAAUUCAUACUUUUCUGGAGCCCUUCCAUGGCCAUUUAACAAGAUUUAGAACGAAUGUCCUUUAUAAAUCGAGGUAUUGAUAUUCAGGUCAUUAAGGCCCUGUUUUGCACUUAGUGCUGGGAAAAUGAGUUUACUUUUUAGGAGCUGGUAAUCUUGCUGAAGCUAUUAAUGUUUGAAAGCAAUAUCAGUUUUGAAAUGAUAGACUUUUAACUGUACAUGCUUAUGCAGAAUUAUCUCUCGCUCCUCUAUGCUGUUGCACCAUGUCCAAAGAACUUCCUUUAGAGGUUGCCACAUGAUUUAGUGGUUUAAUGAGCCUAAUAUGCAAUCGAGAUGGUUGUUCACUCCGCUAGCACUAGCUGCUUAGCUCUAAUGGCAUUAUCAUGAAUUCUUGUGCACAGUUAGUGUAGCCCAUUGUACUGAAUCUUACACCCAUCUAGGGAGUCGGGAAUGCCCCUAGUGUAUCAUGGUUCUUGCUAGCAUCCUCCAUAUUCAAUUAUCUUGUCCUCAAAUUCAACUAUGCCUAUUGGUGCUAUGUGGCUUCUUUGUACACAGCAAUAUCAUAUGUUUUUGGCAUGCUUCACUUUCAUUCUCAUAUAGUAUAUGUUUAUUUCUCGCUUUAAAGUUUCAACCAACACCCCAUGCACAUUAUUAUUUUCUCCUUGUCCGCUUUCCUCUAUGCUGGAUAGUGUUGUAAAUUGUGUUUUAUUCAAGUCUGAAUGUGACUUCACUGGGCCCUCUCAUUAUUUAAAUUAAUACUUCAAUCACAUAUGGUUAGCAGAUAUUAGCUAUAUUUUCUGGGCAUUCCUAAAGAUUAUGUUAGAAGUAGUUCAAUUUGGUAGUUUCAACUUUCAAGUCGUGGAUAUGUUGUGCCUAUAGAGUUGCUUCUUAACUUGCAGUGCACUUUACUUGUAACAAAUAGUAUGUACUUUUUAGUUUGCGAAUUGCUAAAUUGUUUUUGAUAGAAAAGUAUAUAUGAAACUUUUGUAUCAGCCCCUGGUUGCCCUUUUGAAUAAUUAUCAAAAAAUUACUUAAAUCACUUUGGUAUAAUAGCACUAUUUAGUCUUCCGAGUUAACCUUGAAAAUGGAUUCCACCUUAGUUUUCACGAUAUCAGCAAUACGCCCUUGUGAAUGAUUUGCAGAGGACCGGACACCAUCCGGACUGAGUAAUGGGGCAUUACUUGCAGAAGGAGAUCUAGCAACGCUUGAAAACUUACAGGCUUUCAGAGCCAAAGCUGCUAGCAAUAUUGCUGUGAUGCCCAUCAUAUUGCAAAGAAUGAAUGAAUGCAUCACAAGGAUCGAUAAACUCGAAAAGUGUGAUGUAAACAUACAUUCAGUUUUCAAAAUAAAAAGGUAGUACUGUCGACCAUUUUAUAUUUUAAACCCCUAAUAUUGUAUAUCUAGCAAUUCAGAAUAGUGUUUAUUGUGUGUACCAUUUGUAUCAUCUUGAUUUUGUAGUUGGGAAUUUGGUGAUGUAAUACAGUUCGGAUGAAAGCAGAUCUAAAUCCCAAUGUAUUACAAGCUUCAGGGGGCAUUGUUGGUGCUCUUUCCAUGGCCUCCUUGUUGUUGGUGCCCUCUCUCUGUGGACAUUUUACAUUCACCUUUCGUGAUGAUCGCAAUUGCACAUUGCAUUUUGUGAUUCUGGCAGUUGUUAAGAUGCUUCAAGUUUCAAUUGCUGAUUGUGUUAAUUCAUGUUUUUUGUUUAUGGAAAAAGCAGUUGGUCUUUUUCAUUAAUUUUUGUUAUGUACUGCAGAUCCAUCCGUUCUGAUGAUAGAGCACUUAAAAACAGGUUGUUUAAAUUGUAUAAGUAGAAAAUCACCCACGGAGAGAUCGAUUUAUGAGGUCUAAGCAUGCCAAAAUGUACGAACUUUUGUUUUAUUGAUAAAUUCAGUAAACAUUAGACGAAUAAUAGUAAAUUGUACAAGAAUGAUGUUCAAAUGUCACCUUAGCAGGCACUUAGAACAUGUUGACAAGUUGAGAAUGAAAAUGGCUUAUUCCUGAAGAAACUUGGAAUGCUUCUGGAUGCUAUAUCUAUGCUGUAUUGCAUCGCGUGUCGAUCUUCAGCGAGCAUGUGUUGAAUUUCCACUCACAAAAGGAAUUAGAAAAGAAAAAAAAUUAGAGGAAGUUUUUCUUGCUAAAAAAUAAUAGGAAAAUCUUAGUGUUUAAGAAGCUUUUGAAAUUGCCCUUCAAAUUUGACACCACUUUCAAUUCGAAUUUGGCUUUAUUUUAGUAUAUCUUUGCCUCUCUCAUCUCCACUUUGCAGAAGCCUUGACACUGACCUAGGAAUGCAGUUUCUGCACUCUCAAUUGUACAGCAUCAUCUUCUUUUUGCUCAUUUUCAAUGACUCUAGAAGGUUGUUUCGGAACAUCCAGUGCGCAAAUGGCCUUUAAAAACUCGUACGAUGCAAAGAAGAUGGCUCCUUGAGAGACAUACAUAGCCAACCGCGGAGCCAAGCCCCUGUAAACGGCCAGUAGAAUCAGCAUCUUAUAACAAAGAUUUCAAUACUGUUUUUUUCGUUGUUGUUGUUGUUGUAAAAAUCAUGUACUUAAUAUGUCCGCAACACCCAUACCUAUAGAGACCUUGCAAACCUUCUUGCUUGGUUAUUUCUUGAAGCGCAUGAAGCACACCAUCGUACUUGCAAAGAGUGCCUGGAGUCUGCAUAAAAUAAUUCACUAAAUUUACCAAAAUUGAGUAAAUACAAGAAAAUUCAUUCAUCGCUAUACAUUCAUGUUGUGGGUUACCUGUGUCUGUAACCUCGUCUUUACUACAUCAAAAGGCGUUGUGAAAAGAGCUGCAGUAGAUCCAGCAAGGCCCCCACAUACUAACUGCAAAGAGACUUCUCUCAGUUAGUCCUUUGCUAAGUAUUCGCAGAGCAUCUACCACUAGUGAAAAUUUCAACAGAAGUUAGACAAUAAGCAAGCACAUAAGAGGAAUUUUUGACAGAUGGAAUAAGAUUGACUACUGGGUAAGAGUGAGAUUUCGCAAAAUGCAAAAGUUAUGUCCACCAGACUACGGUAUUCUCAAUGACCGCUAAUAAUAAUAGAGGAUGAUGACCCGCUAAUAGCUAACAAUACGUAGACAUGUGAAAGAAGGAUGCGAAACUUAACUGUUUGCCAUGAGCUAAGAGUAGAAUUAGGUGCUGCUGCUGUCAAAAACAACUGCUUCAGGCGUUCAUAGGUGUAGAACUGCAAGUAAGUUUUUGAAAACUGAGAAUCAUGCUGAGAUUUCAUAAACAAGCAAGUGAAUUGUAUUACACUGCAUAUCGAACAAGCACACAGAGAUGUUCCUUAUAUUCGCCACACCUCUAAAAGCCAAUAUUAACACACUAGUAUUCCAAGUACCUUAAUAACUGAAUGUGGGAUGUUUCUGCAAAGAACUGCACCCCACCCAACAUACAGUGAAGUUAUGCCACCCUUUUCAAGGCAUCCAAUCAAGGCAUUCCUGAUACCACAAGUUUCAAUUAGAGUCUGAUGAACGGGAUCAUGAUAUAUGAAGCACACAAAACACAUGAACAAGCAAGUACUAAAUUUUGCAGCUCACAUCAAGGUUUAUAUGAUUAAGUUUCAAUAUGGAAAACAAAACAGUUACGCAAAAGUUAACAAGAAUAAUUAUUUCCACGCGAAUACUACCAUUAUUGCUUUGAUACAUUGUACCUUCCUUAGUGGUAAGUAAAUACAAGUAGUCACUGCUUUCGCUAACCACACAAACAUAUGCUCUUAACACCAACACAGAGGGCAAGGGAAGGUCUUUUUAUAUUGACUUAAGUUAUUAUAAGAUAAAGAUAUUAAAGAAUUUAUUACCAGCAGUUCUGAUACUGGGAACCCACUUGCAUUUGUUGCUUUAUGCGUUCACUAGGAGUAAAGACAAAAGAAGUUGCUAAGCUUGAACAACCACCAGCAAUGCAGUGUGCUAGAGAAUGGUAUUCCUGGAUAGGAAGAAGCAGGCGAGCUAAGAGAGUCAGAAAAUACGUGUCCUCGAUUUAUUUUUUUAAAAAAAUCUGGACAAAGCAAGAGACAGUAGGUCACCUUUGGAAGAACAGGUAUGAGAGCUCCCUUAACAGAUUCGUAUGUGAAGGUAUAAAUUGCAGAAAUUGGAGCUGAAGAAGUUAUAUUGCUAGAAAUUCCACGGUAAAGUCCCACUACCCCUGUAACGAAAAGGCAAUAUACUGUUAGUAGUGCCCCCCAAUAUUCUGAAAUACAAAAAAAAUAAUAGGGCAUAACAUGAAAAAAAAAAAAGAAGAGUUAAGAUCUUAGGCUCUGGAGUGUAUGAGAUAUAAAGCUGUAGCAAAAACUUCACCCUUUUCAGUCAUGAUAUGCCUAAGGAUGUCAGAGAAGGAUUUUUGACUAGCUCCAUUAGCCUGAAUAAUAGUCUUUAUUGUAUCAAUAGGAUGUAGACAAACGCUAACCAGUGUCCCAGCCAGUGCUCCAGCUAUAGCAUGCCUAUUAACGGCAAAGGCAUUAUGGACCCUUUGUUGCAUGCAUAGCCAAUUAUUCGAAAAGUAAUCCUCCUCAAGAACAUUCAAGUAAGAAGUUAUCUUUUUGUUCUUAUGAACAUCACAAUCCUUGCGGGCAGACUCCUCUACCACCAACUCGCCAAAAGUAGAAUGGGAUUCUAUUGAUUGCUGCUGCUGAGCCUUUAAGCAAUCAGUAGAUCUUAAAGGUUCACUAUUAUAAUUAGAGCAUAGACCAGAAAUUGGGUUUCCUAAAACUACAAUGGCCUCUUUUACACUUGUCGUCAGUUGAAGUGGGUAAGUUGAACAAAAAGAAUUAGGAUCUUCCUUUAAGUUUUCCUUACUUUUACUGGAACCAGUAAAAGAAACUUCACAUCCUUCUCCGACACCAUUCUCUUUACUCGCGGAGGAAAACUCAGCCAAAGGGUUCUUUUUUUCAUCAAUGCCACUGAUAUUCUUUCCACAGAAGCCAUACUCCUCAACUUCAACCAAAUCUUUCAAAUCAUAAUCAAUUCUAUCAACGCCACGAAUUGGGUUCUUGAUAUCACUAAAAGCCACUAUAUUUUCAGCCUUAUCACUUUGCGAAUCUGUAUGUGUAUCACCGUCCUGCAAAUUUUUCCUGAUAAAAGAAUUACUGAUAGUCCUGUUGCACGAAGCAAAUAGAAGCGUUCUCUUCAUCUCUUUGAGAUCUCCAAACGUUGACUUCGCUGCGGAUGAGAGACAAUCUCCAGAAUUGGGCUUGUAGCUAAAAGUUUCACCUUUACCAGAUACCGACUUAUUCUUUCUUUGGUCGUAGCAUAUGAUGUUCGCUUUCUGACCAUUUAGAACUGUUGGUUGACCAACAAAAUCCCAUAACCCGGCAACAGCUGAUAAAAGCCGAGCUGUACUAACUCUAUUGGCAUGCAAUGUAGUUUCUGAUUGCGCACUGCUUUUUGCCUGAGAAUUGCUAGGAGGAAAUGCAUCGGGGUCGAAGGAUCGAAUGUCCAGUGGAAUCCACCAAUAGUUUAUUGACGACUUGUUACUUGUUGAUUUUCGGCGCUGGGACGCCAUUCUCUAAGGCCUUGUGGACAGCUAUUGAAUAUACACUCCAAAUGCAAGGAGAGCUAUGAAUGGUGUCGACCCACCAAAUCUGUAAGUGGUAAAAAUCAUCAAAAGAAAGCAAUUUGAUAGGAAACAGGAGAUUCUAAUGAGAAGAACAAGAGAUUUGGUGUACAGCCCAAAGGUUCAUAACAUAAGAAUGAAACCACCAAAACUCCGACAUGGAAGAUGCCAUUCCCUCUCAGAAACAUUUCAUCAAACAGAAUCCGUGCAUCAGAAUUCAGCAAUAGUGAGCCCACACUAACCUUGUAGAAUCCUCUGGAACUUAACUUACUUCAAAACCAACGAACCCAUCUCCAGAUUCAGGAAAAUAAGACAUGGGUCUUUGACCUCGGCAUGAACUGAAGACACAAAGUGGCGUGCUUUUGGAGUCUCCAAAAAUCCACCUCAUUUAUAAAGGAAAUGGAGUAGAUUUCUCGACCAAAAGCAUCAAAUCUCGAUGCACUCGCUCCGUAAUAAUUCGAUCCCUGGCGCUUUGUUACUUAACGAAUGAUGGCUGUAUUAUGACGCGAUUAGAGAGAAAAGGUAGGGCAUUUUCUUCAUGGAAAGUACCCGGAGAGGAGUACUUGUUGGUCUCCUCCGCUCCGAACCUAUCUCUCCCUCUCGAUCUGGGGAUGCUGCUGCUGCUGCUGCUGCUACUACUACUACGAUGCACGUUUUAAGCUCGUUUGUGUCCGGAAUAAUUCAAAUGAGGAUGGAUGAUGAUGAAUAAUGGAGCCGUGGAACGGUCGAAUGAGUGAGGUGAAUUAUAGGGAGGGAGAGAGAGAGAGACCAACUCACGAAGCUUUGGGUUGGGAAUUGACCGCGUUUUUUUUUACUUACCAGAGUUAAUAGAUCUCGCCGGGGUGUCAACGCGAAAGACUCGGUUUUAAUUCACAGGUGCUCCCAAUCAAUUCUAAGUAUUGUUUGUUUUUCCAAAAAAAAAACUGUGAGUAUUAGUAUUUAGCAAAAAAAUUAAUAAUUGAUAUUCGAGAUUUUAAAUUCAAAUUCUAAUUAUUGUAUAUAUUUAGAUUAAAUUAUUUUAAAAAAAAUAAAUAAUGCGAAUAGUUUGCUAUCUUUCUUUGAGGGAAAAAAAAAAAAAUCCAACUCGAUAUAAAUGAACUAACAAUGCACGUCGUAAGGUACGGUACACACGCAGAAAAAACCAAUUUUAAAAGUGGCUUUGAUGAUUAGUGCAAUAAAGCUAAUGUAGACAUCUAAUUAUUAUUAUUAUUAUUUCUUAUCUAUCAGUCAAUGUAUACUUUGGGACGGAAAAAAAAAAAGGAAUACUCACCGACUGACAAGUGGCAAAGGACUUUGAUGAUUAGUAUUCGAGGUUUCAAAUUCGAAUUCUAAUUGAUUCACAUUUCUAGCUAAGUUUAUUUCUAAAUGAAAUAAAUAAAGUGGGUAGCAUGCUACUUAUCUCUCUUUCAAAAAAAAAAAAAAAAAAAAACCUCAAUAACAUAUUUAUGCACCGAAAAUGGCUGUAAGGGAUUUUAUUGACCAGUUCCCAUAUUAAUGGGUCUAAAUUUUAGACCCCGAACCUGAUGUUGUAAAGCUUGUAGUGUAAGCCUGGGGAGAACCAUCUAAUGAGCUAUGAUUUUGACGGGAAAAGGGUUGCUUCAGAUGAUUUAUGUAUUGGGCCCAGGAGAUUAUUUAAUUAUGAAGAAAUAUCUUGCAACCAACAUGUUUGCCCUAAAAUGGCACCAUCCUGACAUAGAUGGAUCAAACUUAGUUCGGUCGAUCCGGUUCAACCUGGAGCAAAGGAAAUUGAACGACAACAGGGGGUUUAUGUUCUCUCCGGCUCAUAGUAUGGAUAUCCUCUUACCAGAGAAUAUUACGAGGUUCAGGAAAGGAGGAAAAAGAAAUAAAAGAAAUAAAAAAAACCUCGAAAUCCAACCUAGCAGCUACAAGGCAAAAACCAGGGAUCCGCACGGAGAGCUCACACCCCAAAUAAUACAUUAGAAAUUUGCUUGGCAACAAAUCUAAACACGUGAAAUUUGCUCGACAACAAAGAAAAAAACUAAACAGUAACACUUUUUUUUUGGUUUUUACUGAUUUGAUUUAAUAAAAACAAUGUACAUCAAGCUACCAACAGUAUUUAAAAAACAAAAACUUUCACCCAACACAUCAAAUCAAGUAAAAUUUGAGUACAGACAAAGAAUUAAAUAAAUAGAACAGAACCUAAGUCACUGUGCUACCGCUAUGAUCAUUGCUCAAGAGGGCAGAAUGAACCUUUUAACCUGAACUCAUUAUGUAAUUGCUCAGUAUGUACCAACAUUACAAAGAAUGCUGUAUAUAGCAUACUUGUCACUUUCAGUGGAACAGUUGAUAAGGCAGAAUCAAGCAAGGCAUUCUAAGCGAACGUCAAGUAUAACAAGUUAAAAACACUAGCUCAACUAGAAAAUAAUUGAAACAGGUACUCAAAAAAAACCUCUUGAAGAUUGCAAGGACUACAGAAGGUUAACAACUUGAUAACUGAAAGUGACUUUCAGCAGUGGGAAGCCUGUCGCUUAAGAUACACGGCAUUAUCCCAACCAUCCAAAACACUAAACUAAAGAUAAACAUUUCUCAAGAUUUCCAUUUAUAAACCUCCUGUAGCAUUCGAACUGUUGAUACUAAUCUACUUCAACCACAGCAAGUAGCUUUUUUUCUAUUUAUUAUCAUAUCAAAUUGCAAGCGAGCGUUUGAUAUAGAUUUUAUCCAUCACCAAAUAUACACCUUAAAGGUAGAAAUUGCAGAGAGCACAGAAUACCAUGGUUCUUAUAAAUAGAGGCCACAUAAUUAGGUGGUAAAAAUGGAAAUUAAACCAUUGAGAGCACUUAUAGCUUUGGUUUUGGGAGUUGCUGUGGCGGCUUUGCCUUCCUAAUUAGAGCUUCUUGCGUCAAUGACAUAAUAAGCUGCAAAUUAACACAAAAUUAAUGAAAAAAAAACAAAUAUAACUACUAUAUGAUCCUUUGCAAUUAAAAGGACAAGGUCAAAAGCACAGAGCUUAACUAAAAUAUGGUGCAUUUUGUAAUGGGUCCUCAAACUCUAAAAAGUUUUUAGCGCAUGUUUAAUUUUAGAAAAUGUUGUCAAAAAGUUGUAGAACAUUACGUUAGGUUACAAAAUAUUUCAUCAAGAGGCACCAUAACCUAAUACGGAGGUACUUAAAAUCACUUAAAUCAAAUACAAUAAAAGGUUAGGUAGUGAUAUUAUCAAUUUUUUUAAAAAAAAUUUAGGUACCCAUGUCAAUCCUAUAAUUCUCUUAAGGACUGUACAUUUUUACCACCCCAGAUUUUUUAAUUUAGGUACCCAUUUGAAUUGUAUAAUUCUCUUAAGGCCUAUACAUUUUAACCGUCCCAAAAAUACUUUUUAAUUUAGGUACCCAUUUCAAUCCUGUAAUUCUCUUAAGGCCUAUACAUUUUUACCACCCCAGAAAGAGAGAAAAUCAGCAUACUACCUCCCCCUUCCUGUUGAACAUGCGACCGGUACAGAACCCACGGCCGCCAGAGGCCACUGGGCUUUCUAUCUGUGGACACAAACGCACAACGUCAAUCAUGAGAAGCAGCUUCUAUUAAUGAAUAAAAAGAAAAUUUUCUUUAGCACUUACUACGUAUAACAACCAAUCGUCAGCUUUCACAAGUCUGUGAAACCACAUCCUGAGGAAAGACAGUAGAAUGAGUUAUACCGAAUUAUGUACUCAUUCUACUUUAUAAUGAUGCCGAUGCAUCUCAACAUAAUAAAGUUUCAGAUAAUUUACAAAUUAUAAUGGUUCUUUUUUCUAUCAUUCAUACAACAUGUUCCGGAGAAGAUUCAUGGAGAAUCAAUUAAAUGCAGCAUUAUAACAGGAAAACUAAGAUUAUGACUGCCAUAACCUUAUAUUUAGGUAUAUAAGGAGUAGUAUUCUUUUUAAAUAAACAGUAAGUGAAAGUAACGUAAUCAAAAUCAGCACGAAAUUUCUCCUAAAAAAGAAUCAAUACGAAGUACAAGCUACGCUACUACAUCAGAAGCAAAAUGAGAAAAACUGUUAAGACACUCCACAGGGUGUAAGUUGGAAUCACGGAGAAAGGAUACAGCAACGUACGAGUGAUCCAGACUAAGUGACAAUGUCUUCAUACCCUUCUGCUUGUGGGGAUUUAAACUAACACCAGAAAAUAUAAGAUCUGAAGCAUACGCUACAACACACCUGUAUCACCAACACAUGAGAUAGUCAUAUCAAAGAGGACAAUGAAAACAACUACAGUUAACUGAAAGAAGUCUAAUAAUAGCUAACUAGGAGAAAAGAGAACAUCUAUAACCUUGUGGUGCAUUGUUAUGAUAUUCUCAAUGAGAUUUACAAGAGAAGAUUGGUUUCAUACACCCUUUUAGCUUACAUACUAUUAUUUGUUCGGAUUUUUAAAAAAAAAGAGAAUAAAAUGAUUCCUUUGACAUCUGUAUAUUUAUAAAGAAAAGGAGGGAGAAAGGAGAAACUAUUUUCAUCAAUUGACCUGCUCAAUGGCUCAGCCAAGCAAUCUGCACCAGAUAUUUCUACUCAGAUUUAUUCAUUUGGCACAGUACUCAUGGCCUAAGAAAAUGUAGUUAAUCGAAUUUGUUAAAAAAUUCAAAGAGCAAAUGUGCCCAGAUACGCAAUAAGGCAAUGUAAUGAGGAUAAAAGAAGUACCUAUGUAGAGCUGGAUCAUCUGAAAGUCUUCCCCUAGCUCUAAACCAAUAAUUUAAACUGAAAAUGGAAUUGGCAUUAGUAACUACAGUAUUUGGAGGGAACCCACAAUGAGAUGAAGCAGCUAAAGCAUAAGAGCAAGGAUUGUCCGUGGCACCCUACCAGCAUGUGGCACGCGAUCGUGCCCACACCAUAUCGACAAUUUUUUCCUUUUUUUUUUUGUAUUUUUUGGAAUCUUUUUGAGUUUUUUAAGGUAAAAGGUUUUCCAAGAUUUUUCAUAAUUAGACCUUGUAAUAACUACUUACGUUUGGAACAAUUAGCAAGAUUCAUUGCAUAAUAAGACCAACUUUUAGUGAAAAAAACACAAAUAAUAAGAUUUCCUCCAAUUUCUUUAAUAACUUUAGAUCUAGUGAAUACCCAUGAUAGUGCUUUCCUGUAAAUUUUAAUCCAAUUAUGACUUUGGUUUUUGUUUCAUACAUAUACUUCCGUAAUAUAUAUAAAAUUAUUAUUUUAAUUAUAAGACAUAUAUGGAUCUAUUCUUACUAAAUCAUGCAAGAUAUAAUACAUAAAAGAUUUUAUAGCCACUAGAGAUAUUAAAACACUAUAAAAAACUAAUUUUUAACAAAAAAUAGAAAAAAAUAUCCGUGCCAGUGCGUGCCGAUCUACCAUUGGCAUGCCACUAGCAUGGGAUGUUGGCACACUUUGUGGCGCUGUGCAUGCCGUGUCAGUAGCACAACAGCAAGGGCCGCGCCAAUGGUACAACACGACAAUCCUUGCAUGAGAGAGAGAGAGAGAUGGCAGAUUUACCUAGGUUUAGCUUGUUGUGAAGAGUUGCUUACUUCACAAAACCUUAUUUCUAUGGGCCAGGGAACAAAUUUUUUUCUUGCAACGGUGUUUCUAUAGUGCCUGUCCAUGCAAAAAUGUUAGACUAAGAAGACAGUAAGCCUAAAAAACAAUGAAACAAACAAUAACUAAUUAGACAUAAGAAACUCAUUUUGAUUGAGAUGAGAUUUAGGGAAACUUUUUGAAGAAGAUAUACAGGUAGCUUUACCUGACUUUUAUUGGUAAUCAAACAAGAACAUCAAAGAUAGAUAUUCUUUUUCAUAACAUGCAUAAGGAGUAAAAUCAAAUUUCUUUUUCUCGUUAUCCUUAGCACCUAUUAAAUUGCUGCAUGACAGGAUACCAACAUACAACCAAUAAAAUGAGCUUCAAACUUGUAGCAGGUGGCUUAACCAUAAAUUUCUAAGAUAGCCUACUGAAUUACAAAUGAUUACAUAACAUACAUUGGAUUAUGUGGUAGAUUUAGAUUCAUUAUCUAAACAAAAGAAACUUAUUCAGAUGGUAUGUAGUCUUGCUAUUAUGCAUUUCUUAUAAUUUAUCAAAGUCGAUCAUGGUAUUAGUUAAUGUAUGUAUGCAAAUCUAGGUCACAGAGUAGUUUAAAUGAUUGACUACUAAAGCACUAAAAAUUUUCAAGACCCUGCAUAAAAUUAUAAACUUUCAAGCCUUCCUGUGUAAAAGUAUAAGCACAAAAGCAUACUAUCAAGAAACAUACUAUCUCAUAACAGAGUAUUAAAGUUUAAGGAAAAAAAAAACUAUCAUAUUACGAGAAAAUAUAUUCUUGUCAUGCUAAAAUGAUUACAUGGGAAGGCGAGGAUCAGUAAGACGCCUCUCUCGCAACUCUUCCAUGGAUGGGAGCUGCAACGGACAACUUGGCAUUAGUAUGUAAGGAUACUCGCAUUAUAUGCCCCAACGUAAAUAUAAAAAGGAUACUGACUAUCUCAGGGUCAGGAACAUGAGGCAUUGAAACACUUUGAUGUUCAAACCCUAGUUCAUCCUUCUGCAACGAAGUCAUAGAAAUGUAAAGUUAUAAGCAUGACAUACUACUUUAAACACUACAAUCACUUAGACUCUUUCAAAGAAAUUUUGAGCUUCCUAUCUUUUAUAUGUGUAACGCAGACAUGUAUAUAACAGUGCAAGCAAGAAUUUAGAGAAAGUAAUAUAUGAGGGCAUGGGAAGGUGACAAGUGAAUUUUGCCAGCACACUGAUGUUGCAUUAAGAGUCUGCAUUAAGAACCUAAUUACUAGCAUUUACCAGGACUACUAUUUGACGAUGCUAAAUAAAACUAAAUAUUAGUGCACUAAGAAUCUAUUUACUGCAUUAAGACUUAAGAGCCUAUUUACCUGCAAAAAUUAUUGUAGGAGUUACAUGGCUAUUGAUCCAUCACAAGCCAUUACAGAAAACAGGCAAAGUGUAUAAUUAACUGCAAAUAAUCAAAAUCCUAUUUGUGCAUUAUGUGUAUAAAUACUGAUGAUCCAAAGUAAAAUUUUUAUAGCCACAAAUUACAAGCACAGAAAUGUUAUGAACAACAGCAAAAAUGUACUGUAAUCAAAAUCAAAGUUCAGUCCAUAUGCAAGUUAAAAGUAGAUGAAAAAAAAAACCUAAUUCAGACUUAAUAAGUCAUGUUCAGACUUGAAUAAGUAAUGUCUCACACAAUAAUACAAUAUAGACUUGUUCAGAUAUUUGUGCAUUGUCACACUUAACAGGAUUUAAAUAAAAGAGGAAGAAUCACGGUUUUCAAUGUCUAAUUUUCAGACAUUACUUUUUUCACUUGUAUGAGCAAUUCUGCAGGGUUGUGUAGGAAAUGGAAAUAACAUUAAUGAGAUUCCUCAGACCAAGACCAAGAUCGAUUGACCACCUGAAAGGAAGCUAGCAAAGAGAAAAUGACAGCGCCAUGCUGCUUUGCAUCUACUCUUCUGGUGGCAAAGCUGUUUCCAUCACGUGCACGAUGAACUUGAUAUAUUAUUGGCACUAAAAAGAAUACACAACUAAGCUGAUAUCCUAUGUGAAAUUCCAAAUAAAUGCACAAAAGUAAUAGAUCUAAAAAAGGAAAUACUUACAAUUAUUGUCACCUGCAACAAGAAAAACCACAUGCAAGCUAUGGGCCAGUUUAAGGCAAUCCACUGUCUUAGACGCUGCUGCUAAUGCCUGCAUUUACUGGAAAGACUAAAUUGAUUGGGUCCUCAAAAAGCAUUACGGACAAUUUGAAUUUGUUGGGGCAUUUUGUUUUUUAAAAAGCUUAACUUUCUCAAUCCCAGAAAAGGAAACAUUGAAAAGAAUUAUUACCCACAGGAAGAACUUCAAGAGGUUAAUAUGCAGGCAAAAACACGAGCGCUCACACACACAGACACCACCCUCCCCCUCCCAGCCGCCCCCCCCCCCCCCCCCCCCCCCCCCCCCCUGCCCCCCCCCCCCACACACAACAAGAGAGAGAAAGAGAGCAGAGAGAGAGACGGGCAAAAAGGUUAAAGCGUACCUGUCCAAUCAAUUGUCCUCAAAAACUUGUUAAAAUUGGAGCAUCUGGCAAAGUAAUCCACGAAAGUAUCCACCUUACAAUAGAAAAGGAAAAGAUAAGAUACAGAACCUAGAUUUUGAAGUUUAAUAGCAGAUAGGAAUAUACAUAACAAAUAAUUCCAAAGAGAGUUUUCGAAGAGAGAAUACAAUCGUAAACAGUUAUACCCACCUGAAUAAGACAUCAUAAAGACCUUUAGGGGCGUUAAGAGUCAGACAUAAAUAUAAUGCAUGUUUAAACUAAAAGUAUACCAGUCUCUCUUUAAUCGCUCUCUUUGUAUCUUCACAUCUUGUAUACUAUUAGUUUCCAUCAUUUCUCUGUGUGAAUUUCAUUCUUAGGGUAUCUAUGUGGUAGGUGUACAUCUAAUUUGUCAUUUACACUUACUAAAAUAAUUCUAAUGUCUUGAUAGUCAUGCUGUUAAGCGAUAGCAUUAAACAUCACUUCCAGAUUUAGAUUUUAGAUUUUUGUUUUACUAGCCCAAGCCUUACACAAGAUUCUGAACAAUUUUGACAAGAAUCUCAAAGAAAGACAGAUAAGUGAAAUUUGUACUUACUUCUAAUGGCUCUAGGUGCAAUAUAUGCUCCACAAGCGAGAAAUUUUCAGGCGUCUCAUCUGCAUUCCAUAUAGACUUUGGCUGCAGUAAAUGUCUAUAUCGAUCAGGCAGUACUAAGCAUGUCAGCUGCAAACAUGAAGGGCUGUUAGCGAAAACAAAUAAUUGUAUAAACUUUAUAAUUUCAACUACUUAAUAAAAGCAGAAAUCUACGCUUGCGGUUACCUUGGAUAAUGCAACUACAUUGACUUGAUGAACAGAACCAGUAGCCCCUAUAAAAGAAAGCAACAUAACAAUAAUUCCAAAUGCAAAGCAAAAUCAGGACAAUGCAUUUCAAUACAUAGAAGAUCAAGAGAAACGAAAAAACAAGUCUAGAACCAUUUAGCAAGAGAGGUCGGCAUGCUCAUUUAUUCUUUAAAUAAGAUAACUAAAUAGCUUCCAACCGCUGCUAACCGUCACCGCCUCUAAUUCCCAUCAUCAUUUACUACAAGAUUAUAACCAAGCAAAAUAACCAUCACGCAAUGCCUCAUAAAUUGUGCCUAAAUUACCAAUACUGUUAUUCUCUCUCCAUAACUGUCAAAAUAUAAUUUCUCUUUUCUUACAAAUUUCAAAUUUCUCACUGUUUGGCAACAACAAUAGCAAAAAAAUUAUACAAGUUCGCAGUUCUAGACAUCUUCACAUAAACUUUCUCCACACUUGCUCAAAAUAGCCACUACAAAUCAAAGUAGGGUAUACCGAGACACUUAAAAUGAGAAGUCAGCGCCCUAAUGGAGAAACAGUAAAACAAGGUGACAAUUUCUGCAAAAAAAAAGGCGUUUGGAAGUUCAUACCAUAACCAAAAUAGUCAUACUGUUUCAAGAAAAGUUCUGGACGGUUUCCUUCUUCCGCGUUAGUAGAACCAGAAACCUCAGCCUGUGGAGAAUGAAAACUGAUGCCAAUAAGUGAAACCAAAAAAUGAGCCACUAUUCUGGAAAUCAGCAGGACGGGAAAACAGCCUAACAGCUAAUUCAAAUGUAUGACAAGCAAGUUGUUCACAUGAAUAGAGGAAAGAAGUAAUAAAAGCUAUUACGUUCCUGUAUAGACAGCAAAACAGAAAAAUAACCUCUGAUAGAGACAACAGAAAAUUCAUCAUGCAAUAUGAUACAUUAAGCAGAAUAUAUAUAUAUAUAUAUAUAGAGAGAGAGAGAGAGAGUCCGGCUGGGAUACUAUCGAUAGCACCAAAAAUUUGGUGCUAUCGAGUUUUUCACCGUUAGAUUUUACUCUUUGAUUAUUUUUACCCGUUAGAUUAUACUAUUCAACCAACCACUCACUCAACCCUAUGGACCCACAUCAUCCUAACCACACAUUUCUCAAUCCGAGGGUUAAAAAAUUAAUAGCACUAAUAGCUUGGUGCUAUUGAUAGUAUUCCAGCCUAGUUUCAUAUAUAUAUAUAUAUAUAUAUAUAUAUAUAUAUAUAUAUAUAUAUAUAUAGAACUAGGCUGGAAUACUAUUAAUAGCACCGAUGACUUAGUGCUAUUAAGUUUUCCACCAUUGGAUUAAAAGAUGUGCGGUUAGGAUUAUGUAGGCCCCCUAGGGUUGAGUGGGUGGUUGGUUGAAUAGUAUAAUCUAACGGAUAAAAAUAAUCAAAGGGGUUAAUCUAACNUAUAUAUAUAUAUAUAUAUAUACAUACAUAAAUACAUACAUACAUAUACAUAUAUAUAUAUAUAUACAUACAUACAUAUAUAUAUAUAUAUAUAUAUACAUAUAUAUAUAUGUAUAUGUAUGUAUGUAUGUAUGUAUGUAUAUGUAUGUAUAUGAUAAGUUGGUUGGUGAGUGAGUUGGGAUACCCGGGUGUAGUCGGAUUGGUGUGUAAAGAGUUGGGGUGCCAAUUUUUUAAUUAUCGUGAUUAUCGAAUCACGAUAACUAUCAUAAGGUCGGAUCAAGAUAUAUAUGUAUAUCUCGAUCCGACCAUAUGGUAGCUAUCGUGGUUUUUGAACCAGGAUAGCUCAAUAAGUGGCAAUCUAAAAUGAGAAACUACUGAAAGUGGUCUAUCUAAUGUGAUAAGUUGGUUGGUGAGUGAGUUGGGAUACCCGGGUGUAGUAGGAUUGGUGUGUAAAGAGUUAGGCUCCCAAUUUUUUCCUUAUCGUGAUUAUCGAAUCACGAUAACUAUGAUAAGGUCGGAUCAAUUUCUUUUUAUCUUAUCGUCGAUUUGGGCAUAUGCUAGUUUUGGUGGUUUUUAAACCACGGUGGGUCGAAAAGUGGGAAUCUACCCUGCGAAACUAAUAGAACUGGGCACUCUAAUAUGCUAAGUUGGUUGGUGAGUGAGUUGGGAUCCCCGGUUGUAGUAGGAUUGGUGUGUUUCGAGUUAGGCUUCGCAUUUUUUCAUUAUUUUGAUUAUCGAAUCUCGAUAAGUAUCAUAAGGUCUUCUCAAGAGUCUAUAUUUAUAUCUCGAUCCGACCAUAUAGAUAGCUAUCGUGGUUUUUACACUACGAUAGCUUACAUAGUGGCAAUCUAACAUGAGAUACUUAUACAUAUGUAUGCUAUGUAAUAUGAUAAGUUUGUUGGUGAGUGAGUUGGGAUACCCGGGUGUAGUAGUAUUGGUGUGUAUAUAGUUAGGCUCCCAAUUUUUUAAUUAUCGUGAUGUAUCGUAUCACGAUAACUAUCAUAAGGUCGGAUCAAUAUAUAUAUAUAUAUCUCGAUCCUACCAUAUAGAUAGCUAUCGUGGUUUUUACACACACGAUAGCUCACACUAGUGUCUCUCUACCACAUGAGAAGACUGCUAAUAAUGGGCAAUCUGUUUUGAUCCGCUUUGUUGGUUUGUGACGUUGGGAUCCAGCCCGGAUGUAUUAGGAUUUGCGUGUAGCACGUUAGGUUAGCGCGUUCUGAAUUAUCGUGGUUCGGUUACUAGGCAUUAAUGCCUUUCAUAAGGUUGGAUCCAGUUUUAUCUCUAUAUAUAUAUAUAUCUUUUUAAGGGGUUGUAAAACACGGUUUAACGUGCUUAAGCGCUCACUCCCCACGGAAACACGUUUGACGUACACGACAUUCCCUAGCCCUAUUUUUAUAGCUCAAAAGUAUCCAAAAAGAUGUUAAAAAGGGAUAUACGGGAUUUCUCGGUGAAUCCUGAAAGAAGAGAGGGUUUGGGAUUUUGAUUAGAGGAGAGGGGUGAGGGAGCGUCGGUGGAGGUGGGAGAAGAGGGACACGUGUUACACGUGUUAGGCCGGCGGCUUAAGAGAGGGAGGGAAUUAUAAGAAAGUUAGGGAGAGAGGGAAGAAGGAACACCUGGACUCGACGUUCCUCCCGGCGUGGAAAGGGGAGUGCGAGAUGGAGCGGAGUGGCUUGGAGGUCGCCAGGGAGUAGCCGUUGGGGAUCGAGACGCUCCGUCGCUGUCGGCAUUUCGAGGAAGAGUUAAUCUUUCCUCCGGCGGCGAGGAGGCGCAACGGCGGCGGCGAAGCCCCGAAGUGGUAGCGGAGGGAGAACCGGAGAACCCAAAUCCCAAAUCCUCGGAACUCGAGGGACCGGUGGCGUAGCGGGUCCACUUCGAACCCGAACCCGAACGAAUACACCCGAUCCGAACGGGAAAGAGGCGGCGGUGGCGGCGUCGGCCGGUUCCCCUCGUGCUCCGAGGGGCGUCGGAGGCGUGGGUUGGGGCCGGCCUCGAUGGACGAGGGUCGGGAUAGACGGAUCACGAACGGUAGACUUCGAGGGGGCUAGACGGCUUUUCCCUCGUGCCGCUAUGGACUGGGAGCGAUUGUCAGCAUGACUGGAGCUUAGGAUGGUUUUUCCGAGACAAAGCGAUCCCACGGUAGCAGCGAGGGCCUUGUGAAUACAAUGUCGUGAAGUAUUUCGAAGCCGUGCGAGGAGCCGGCAGCAAACGCGAGGCCUGUCGCUCCUGGCUGUGCAGCUCUGGAUAAGCGAGCACGAGAGCGCAGCAGGGCUUCCGCGUGCUAAAUGCCAUAUCUGUGAUUUGUUAGUGAAUUUACAAAUAAAACACGUUAAUAACUUUACAAAUCCCCAAAUAAACGUUUACAGCAACGUAUCCGACGGCGCCCGUCGCGCACCAGUGACACACACUGUGAUACCUGAUCAGCAGAUCCAAAGCUUCGGAAGCACAUUUGCUUUUUUCCAAAGCCACGCAAAGAUUGUUUCAGUGGCUAUCUUGUGCUUAAGCGUAGCACUACUCAAAGGUCGACGCACCAACGGAACCUUUAGUAGUGGAUCGGAACAACCGAUCGGCAGCACCAACGGAGCUCACAAGCCUCCGUUGUCCACUCGCCGUCUCCCAAGGUCACGGUUUAACCUGUGAUGGCCUUCGAGGCUACUAUUGGCUCAAUUGGAUCUUCAAACAUCAACGAGGGGUCUGUGGGUUUAACCACGCGAAGUCCAGUCGCUCACUGAGCACCGUGUUCAGCGCCGCAAAGCUCUGUAAAGCUCCCAGAACCCCUGUAGGGCCACGAAAAAAGUCCUAAGGGCUGCUCAAGCCCUUAGCUAAAAUCCUUUGGAUAAGCCGCUCACCAAACCCUAACACUAGCUACACAUAGUUCAGCCAUUCUAAUCUAGGACUGAGACACCUGGAUUGAAUCCAGGUCAGCUGCUAGGAGCUGGUGCCCUCGAUCCACGUCGACGUCUGUGUCCACCCAUAAAACUAGCUUUCAGCCAUAACACCACGUGCGAGCCACUACAAGGGAAGUGAGAAUGAACAAGAACGUAUAUAGAUCAGAUAAGAUCGAACUGUGGUAUACUGAAGCGAUAUGUAUACGAGAUGAAUCAAUACGAGAACAAAAGGAUACAGUAUUGGAUCUUCAUCUCGUCAUCACCAAUGAAAAUGUACUAGCACAUGUAAUAACAACUGGAUUCACCAACCAAGAACACCUAUGGGGUAACAACUGGACUCACCAGCCAAGAGCACCUACGUAGUAACAACUGGACUCACUAUCCAAGAGCACCUAUCCUACUGGACUCACCAGCCACGAGGAUGUGAGUACAACAACUACUUGAGCAUGAAAGAAUAACUGGACUCAACAGCCAAGAAUAUCUAUGUAGGAUUUACUGGACUAAACAACCACGAGGAUAUGAGUACAACAACUACUGGAGCAUGAAAGAACAACUGGAUUCACCAGUUAUGAGACAACUACUGGAACAUGUUAGAUCAACUGAAUUCACCAGUCACGAGUAUAUGGUCAUAACAAAGUUACUGGAUAACCAGCCACGUGGGAUUCCCCAAUCUAACAGUCAUAAGCGGCUGCUUGUCGAUAACUAGUAUAAGCGUAGCUAGCGGUGUCGAGCACUCGUAAAGUGUAUGUGGUUGCCAGACUAGGUGACGUUCUGCCACAAGAAAAGGUCAUUUCAUCAGGAUGCAGGUUGGGCACUCGGGUCACGAUCCCAAUAUACGGUCCACACGUUCGUCUUGCACCGAAAACGGACUCAAGAAAUCUGGCUGUGCCGCUACGUCUAAUUCAUGAAAACCUGAAGCAAGCCAACUGUGUAUAACCAAUGUUAUCGCCAGCAACGUAAUAUCAAGGUAAAGGAGAGUGAAUAUAACGAUGGUAUCUGAGAGGAAAUAUAUAUGAGCCAAUGGGCACUCAUGUGAACGGAAGUAGCCGAACCCCAUGGGUGACCUUUUGGGAAACAACCAAAGAGUGGGGAGACAGAUGUCCAACAAUUCAGAACACACAACCGUUCAAAGUACUUCACUCAGCCUCAGAACUUCCUAGCCACGCAUAGCAGCUUCUAGCUUCUUAGGUUCUGAAGCUUCUUUAGCUUUUUAUUGAGUACUGCACUUAGUGCUACAGGUCUAUUCAAAAAUUAAGUACAAUAUUACUAAGUAUGAAUCAAUAUCCGUAAUCUUAGUAUUUGAGUUUCAAAUGAGCUAAUCUUUCACGCAGCCUUGAAACGCUUUGAGCUUUGACACUUUUUUUAGUCUAAAUACGUUUCACAUGGCCAUGUUGUAGCCUUCACAUGGCCAUGUUUUACACAAGGCCAUGUUGGUCGCUGAACAGUGGCCAAUGUCACAACGCGUCCAAAAGAGAAGGCAGUAGCACAUUGGCUAUUGUCGAAUUUUCACAUGGCCAUGUGUUACAUUUUUUAGGCUUUUCGAAAGUUAAAAGUUUAGGUUGAGAUUAACUAAGAUUUCAGAUAUUUAUUCGAUAAUCUCCAAGAGAUUGUUUAAUUCAUAGUACUCUUAUGUACAAACUCUUUGGGAUCUCCGAUCCUAAAGCAAGUAUUGGAUAAAAGAUGUUUUAUUGGAGAAAAUCCAGUUAAGCUCUAUAGCAUUAAGCUCUAGAAUUACAGCUUAACUAGAUUCUGAAGCAAAUCUCAAACCAGAGACCAAGAAGUAGUUGUAAGAUUCGCUUCCUAGUGGUAUCGUACUACAAAAAGUACCUACCGCAGCACCUAAGCCGCACUAAUUUCCGCCAAGCACCUAAGCCUAGCAUCCGAGCACCUAAGCUCACCGCAAGCACCUAAGCCUGCACAGGCUCCGUAAGCACCUAAGCUUGCACUCCCGCACCUGUUGGACCUCCUAACGCGCUCUAAGCAUUCUCCAAUUCUCUCCAGCUCAGACACCUCAGCCAUUAGUGGAAUAUUAGAAAAGAGAAUCACUUAAUAAAAAAAGCGCACAACCAGGGCACCCAAAAAGAGGUUUAACCUCAAAAGGGUGCAUUUAGAGCCACACUAAAAAUAAAAAGUGUGAAUAAAAAUAGCGUAAUUCUAAACACCAAAAACCCAUAAUGUGGAUAAGUGGGGGGAGAUCCACAACCUAUGUUAGAUCUAUCUAGGAACCCGAGGAAAUUUUGAAUGUGUCCACUGUGCCCAACCUCGAUAGCUCUGCCACGCACUCCGGCAUCUAUCGUACCCUAUCUCCAGGGUCGGAAUGUCAUAGUCAAAAACAAACUAAGUAUUACAUAUGUACAAUCAUCUACCUGAACUGUCGAGUUUAAGAACCGUGCGAAUAUGAACAAUCAUCAAUCUGUCAUAACACCAAGUUAUCUAAAUGAUCACUUUGAAACCAAUGUAUACUCCAAAACCUGAAUCUAAAGCUUUCUUCCAAAAUUUUAUAUGAUCACCAAAAGCGUUUAUUACCUAAAGAUGAGGAGCGCCAUCGAACAAAAAUUUUAUUUCCAAAAGUACGCCUUUUGCCAAAAGUUUUACCAGAGGCCGAAAAGCUCCGAAAAGCUUUUCAAUUCUCAAAGUUUUAUUCCAGAAGCACACCCUCUGCGAAAGUUGAUUAUCCCACUUACACCUUACUAACACUGAUUCCCGCCAUCGACAUAUUGCACCUUUGAACAACUUACAACUAGGAACAUGAACACCCAGAACACACACACUCACCAUACAGUACCAACAGUGAACAUGAUACACGAUGCGGCACGAUUAUGUCCCUUCUGACAGGUAAAUUUGUUUUUUAAAGAACAUAAACACCGCCCAGAUAAUGCAGGAACCCAGUUCCAAUCUUUUUCUUCUUUUUUUUUUAAUCCGUGAAAAAGUGACUAAGAGUCAAUGAUUUACCGGGCUAAAGUUUUACCGAAAUGUUUUUCCCUGGGGCCUUGCACUGUGAUUCUAUUUGUUAGUCCUGGUGUGGCCUUACAGCUAGCCCACUAACGUCUAGCACUCUUACACACUACGAUGGUGAAGGUGUCAUUCUUAAUACGGUAUUGUUAGCAUGUUCCAUGGUGGCUGUUCGGAUCCCAUGAUUUCCUUCACGGGAACCCCGUGUGUUUCCCAGACUGCUUACUUUCACUACGCCUGGCCCAGGGAACAGUCCACAUGCUUGCAGCAACUGCGACGUUUACGUUGAACUCGUACACCGAGCUAGUUAGGCCUGACCCAAGCCUAACUUAACGUGGGCAAUUAAAGAUCUUCAUAGAUCCUAAUACGCUAAAACAAAUUUUUAGACAAAGAAACCCAUUCAAUUCUAAAAUCAAUAAGACAAUCUUAUCCAACUCUAAAAAUAAGAUAAUCCUAUUCACCUCUAAUAUAAUACUAUAAAAAUAAAACAAUCCUACCAACAACUCUAAAAUAAAGCUCGAAUAAGUAGACAAUCCUUUCGAGAAAUUUAUUCGGAUACAUACAUUGCUAAUUUUAUCACUUCUACUUAUAACGAUAUCGGUAACUUUACACAAGAGAUCAUAGGAAGCGUAAAUACGCAGCUAGUCUCACUCAGGCACCCCUCACUCAGGGAAAUAGAAAGAAAAGAAAAGAAAAGAAAAGAAAAAGGAAGACGGACGUAAGUAGCGACAGUUGUAGUGGGUGGUAGCUGCAGCAGAGAUGGUAGCGUCGGUGGCAGUGGACCUCAGCGCUGGCGGAUGUUGCGGCGGGACAGUACUGCAGAGUAACGGUGGACGUUUGUAGUGGUGACAGAACGGAGCGGUGAUGGCUAGCCAUGCGAGCUCGGUGGAGGGCUAGUAAAGCUGCAGUUACUAGUUUGGUUACGGUAGAUCGAACAGGUGGUUCGUGUUAGCCAAAAGAAAAGAAAAUAGGAAGAUUAGUAGAAUAGAGUUAGGAGAGUAAAUAAGAGGGAGAGGGGUUGGGGGAAGGAAAUUUAUUGAGGGGAAACGAAAAACAGGUAUCUACGACGGGUUUCUCUCUGAACCUAGGCUAUCUAAUUCUUGCCCGACAGGGAAAAGUUAAACCUCAAUGAUUAUAGCGGAUGUCUCGCAACUGUCUAAUCUAGCUUACAGUGCGGGGCUCGGGCGGAUAAACCAGCCAAGCCCGUGCGGCUGUCUGGCGGUUUGCCUGUCUCAAAAGGGACAUGCAGGUUCCGCAGCGUUAGUAAUGUUAGUGUUCUCCAAGGUUUGUCCUUGUUAUAAGUCUGUUGCUAACGUAUUCCUUCCAUAGUUUGUUGUAUUUAGGAUACGAUAAUGUUCGUAAGUGUAAAUACAAUGUAAUAAACGUUAUGUAGGAGUUGAAGGUUUAUGUUAGUAUUAAUAAUGUUCAAAUAAAGAAAGUAGAGAUUGGGGAUUCGAUCCGGUGAAACCCCAUGGCGAUAGAGACCAGAGCCACCAUUCCGCGAUAGAUGCCUCGAUGCGGGAGAGGAACGCGGCGGCGCGGCGAGUGCACGCUUGGACAUUGGGGGUUUUGGUGUGCCCCCACUCUUGAUAUAUUUAUAUCAAGGGUCACCCAUGCCGGUGGGUUCCCUUCUCGAGCUGGGUGGUCCAGGCUUCCUCCGUUCGACGUCCAAUCAAGUUAUUUGUCUAUCUAUACUAUCAUUUUAAUACGUUGAUUGUUAUGGUACGUAACGGAGCGCUAUACGUUAUUACGUUGAUAUAUCGGUUGAUCAUCAAGUUAACUAUGAUGAAAGUUAGGACGAUAGGUAUCGAGUAGGUUAACUGAAGAUUCAAAAGGAGAUAGAAUCUAAGUACAGUUAAUGGUAAGAUUAGUAUUCCAAAGUAACUGGAAAUGACAAACGAGUGUUCCAAAAAUAGAUGGAAAUGUUACGUGUAUUAAGAGUACUUAAAUAAUGGGUUAGGAGAUCGACCGGGUAUCCGCGCGGGAGUUGAGUGUAGAGUUUAGGCAGAUACCUUCCCCUGAGCUUGGGGGCUCCCUGGCAGACGCCCUGGGGUAUAUCCGAUAGGGAACCCUGGGGUUUAUCCGAUAGGGUUAGCAAAGUGCACGGUUCUGAGGCCUCGAGCGUGAUGAACACGCCCCGCUGGCGGUGUUCGCGACUUGUCUGACACACUCAUACUAGUUUAGGCAAAGGUUGCUUCCAUGGGCCAGUGAUACUGGUUGUACGUGUUCACAAGAAAAUUGUGAUGCAAGAUUACGGUGAGCAGUUCAACAAAUGAACCAUAUGUAUACGGUGAGCAGUUCAUACAUGAACCAAGUGUACAGUGAACGGUAUUACGUUAACAGGGCUGAUAUGAUCAGUAUAUAGUAGUAUAAGUAGUUAUGUUCUAGUUCAAUAACAAAUUGAAUAGAGAUAUCCCAAGAUACAGUGGUAAGGAGAUAAGAGUACGCAGGAUUGAGUUCACGGUUGAGUACAACGAUGUGAUGAUACCUAGUACGUUCUUAUCUUUACGCUGAUAGAUUAUGGGAUAGUACAUAUACAUAGUUGAUCGUAGAGUACUAUACAGUUGUAGUAAAUCAUAUACGGAGUACAGUAGUACGUAAAUGUAAUAUACGUAGUUCUUCACAAUAUGAAAGCGAAGCUGUACCUUCACUCGAUUAUUGAAGCCACUCGUGUUGGGUGGACAAUCGCGUAAGGCUAACGAACAGCUGUGAACGUUAGCCGGAGGGCGUCGUAGGCCACGGGCCAAGACGGCCUUGAACGUUAACGCGUGGCUGGCGCGUAGCGAAGCGUUGGAGCCCGUUUUUCCCAGAAGCAAAACAACAAUGCCACGGAGUUUAGUCUAAGGUACUAAAAUGCUGCAGCGGAGCCGGGAGGGCCGCCUGGGCUUCGGAUUUGCAGGCAAAGAAAUUAUUGAAGCGUGGCCGAGGUGCUUAGCGGCUUGGCAGAAGCGGUUGCGCAAGCAAAUGGAUAGUUAAUCCAAAUGCUUCCCAGUUUAAUCUAGUUUGGGGUGGAUUAAACGUUUGGGGGUAAAAGUGUGGAAUCGGAGUUGUAUACGAGGUUUGUUAGGUUUAUAAUUCCUAAAUUGUUCGAUUGAAGUGUAAUCUCCGAUAAUCUUGGGAAUUUCGAUUCCUAAUUCGGUUUAGGGUUUUCGAAUGGGGUUACACUUGCGGCGUUGCUUUUGUGCGGCGAGGUUGCCCGCGUGCUUUCGAGUUAGGCAGCGGAGGUUGCGCAAGCGUUCGAGCUAGAGGUGGUUGCGGCGCUUAAACCCGCUUUCUAGAUCUCUCUACUCUCUCUAUAAAUCUCUCUCUUUCUCUCCCAAAGAGAGAGGAAGUGGUACUUGCGUACCAUCACCACUACCACCAGCCGACUACCUCUCCCUCUUCGGAUCAUCGAAGAUGAAUAUCAGUUGGGAGUUAUCAUCGUAUGUGAUAAGUGUAGUCCGUCGAGGUUUAGACUAUAGAAAGCGGCCUCGAGGGACUUAUAGGCAAACUCGAGUUUAAACUGUCAGUAUAAGCCAAAAUGAAUUUCUCAGGUUUCUUUAAAAUUAUAAAGUCAAAGCUGGGGUAAACCAGUGGCUUUUGACACGGCUUGACGUUAGAAAUAGUCUACCGAAAGCCUAAAAUAAAGAGUGAGAUGCCCCCAGUCUUUUUAUACUUUGAAAUUUAGAUCGGAGUAAUUUUAUAAAGGCUGAAUAGGAGGUUAAAAAUAUUAAAAUACUCUGACACGUAAAAGACGAUUAAAUAGACAAGGCAAAGGUUGUCUUUUAAGAUCUAGAAGACAAAAGCGAGGCUAAAGUCGUGUUCAGUGAGGACUGAAUACAAAAUGAGGAGAUUUAGGUUAUUUUUAUCAAAGAGUAUGAUAAAAAUAAAUAAAAAUAAAAUAUAAAUUUUUUUUAGGUCAUACAAUGUAAGGUGGCGUUGGAGUGGCCUUGGUAAAUUUACAUGUGGCAUUGAAGUAUCAAAAUCUUCAGGCCAUGGAAUGUAGCUUGUAGGGGUUAAAGAAUUAAUUAAAAUCGAAGCGCAGUAGAUAGCCGGGGGAAGAAACAAAAACCAGAUCUUGAUAAAAGAAAAAGAAAAAGAAACGCUCAGGCCUAACAUCCAGGGCAACACAACGUAAGUUGAACGUAAUCUCUUGGAAAAUUAUUUUCCUAAACUAACGUAUGUUGUAAAGUACAAAUGUAAGUAGGAUGUAUUCUUCCACGAUGAGGUGACCUCAUACACACAUUAAUUUUUAAUUUCAGUUAGGCGUUUUCUUAUUGUUCUUUAAGAAUAAGCCUCCGAGGAAACCGUCAUCUCGUCGCUUCGUUUUCUGGUUUUCUCCCCCGUCCAACUAUCGUUUUUAAUAUAAUGUGAGCCCCAUCGAGUCACCUUAUAUGUUGUAUGUCCCGUGAUGACCUUGGAUAACCUGACACAUUUUCGUCUUGUGCAGGGUUGCCGUUUAGCCCGUGGUUUGUUCUUAGUUUUGCUACCGGUCUUGUAUUCGAUGGAUUUAGCUAGCAGUUGGAACAUAGAGCAGGGAGCUGCUUCAUUUGUUCCGUACAGUAGACAGAGUAUCUUCUUAGAUUACUCGCCAUCCCAUAUAAUGUAUUUAACUAUGAGUAUCUACUUGUACUCGACUCGUUAUGACUCGGUGAGGAAUGUUUGAUGUACAUUGCUUAGUCUCGGGAUUUGGAUUAGAUGAAGAGAAAUUUUUUUUUUUUAAAGUUAAAAAGUAGGGAAGAAAGGAGCAAAAGAACGGAACCCUUCGGGUACUGUGUGCAUCUAAGUCAUUAUCAUUUCGUUUUUUAAUACUACACAUUUUGUUAAGGAUAUAUUCUGUACCAGAUACCGUCAUCAAAUAAACUGUAAUCUACAAUUAUCACGGGGUUUUCAACGUAAGGACCGUUGUAAAUUUAUGUACGUAAAAUAUUAUGUAAAACUACGCCCUGUUUAAUCCUAUUGAGAUUAGGUAGACAAAUAUAUAUACAAAUGCAAACCACUGAGCUGGUAUGUCAGGACUCAGGACCUACAUCUACCAUGUGUUUACUCCCCCACAUCAUAGGUUUUUAAAAAUGCAGACAAAGAUAUAAGGUGUUUAUGUAGUACCAACAAACAAAAUAUUACUCAUGGUUAUUCUUUUUUUGCUGAGAUUCUUGACAUACAAAUGGAAUUAGCUAACCCAAUCCAAAUCUCAGUUCGUCUGUCUGACUAAUGGGCAAUGAAUUACAGAUCCUUAUCCUGGCAAGCAAAUCAUAGCUCAAAUAAGAGUAUGUAAGAGUAUGUUAGGACACACAUCUAGCAACCCUUAACCACAUAUACUGCAUAUGAAUGAUGACGAUGCUAAGUACUAAUGUCAGAUCAAGGAAUCCAGAAUCAUGCCUAUUAGCUCCGCUGUGUAAUCACUGAAUAAUUACAAAUGGCAACCUUUCAUGUAAAUUACUUGAUCUUCAUGAAAAGAUACCAUUCUGCAUGUAAGAUAUUAAUUUUCUCAACCAAUGUUCAUAGCCUGAUUAUUCUGUCUUAUCAGAAACUACAAUUAAUUCUCAAGUUGAAUUAAUAAGUUAAUUGUUUAUAAUGCAGAAAUUUGCCAAGCUUAUUCAGUAUAUAUUAAAAGAGAUGCCUGGUUUACUAAUUUGUCCACACGAUAAUGUAGCUGCUUCAAAAAAAACAAAAACAAGAGUAACCGUUUACAGAAACUUAAUAAUCAAUCUCAAUUAAGUCUCGGGCAACUUUAUCUCAGAGGAGAUCAAAGAAGAGAGAGAGAGAGAGAAAGAGAGAGAGAGCGCGUACCUUACCCUCCCAUAUAAAGUAAAGGCCAUCCACAGGUUCACCUUCACGAGCAACAUACUCACCGGUUUCUACAAAGAAAAAAUGUGAUAACAUCACAAAAAAGAUGAGUCAAAAAAUACAACGAAUUCAAACAUUUUACAUUGAUUAGCUUUUUAUUAUUAUUUUUUAAAACCUCAGACUACUGACUCAUGCUGAUUCCUAAUCCUACGUCCAAUAUUUGCAGGUCAUCAAGUUAAUACACAGUAUUAGCUAAACAAGAAACGGUAUCCGACAUGAACAAUUUUAGCUAAACAAGAAACGGUAUUUGACAUGAACCCUUCAUCUAUUCAACAAAUUUCCACCGCUGCAUUGCAGCACAUGGGCAUAGUUCCUCCUUAACGAGUAGGAAAUAAAGAAUAAACAGAAUAAUAAAAGUAAAAACAUAGUCCACAACGAAUUCAAAAUAAAUUGUUACAUCCUACGAGACUACAAGAACGGAUCUUUAUCACCCGCACAUGACUCGAAGAAAAGGGACAAUAAGAAUCUGAACCCCGAUUACUCGUUUAACGCACAAGUAAAGAUUUGUCUGCUAGGUUUCCGAUACCAAAAUCUAACAGCAAAAGAGGUCAAAGAGGUCAAUACUCGCACCGUAUCGCCUCACUUCGACGAGCUCCGCGAUCUUCCGUAGAGACGAACUCGGGAGGCGCUGGAGUAACGGUACUUGCCCAAGAAACUCGAUCACUGGGUAAAGGAGGAGAGAAAUAACCGUGGAAUUGCAUAAAAAAUCCCGCAGAUAGAUCGAUAUUACGGUAAAUUUGAACGGAGACUAGGGUUUUCCGAUACCUUCUUCGCGAUCCAUCUCUGCGGAAGCGGCGAAGGUAGAUGGAGAGAAAGGAUCUUAAGGAGGGAGGUGCGGGGGCUGUACAAAAAGCGCAGUGAAGCAAGACUUUUUAUUUAAGGAAGAGGAGGAUCUUCGUUCCGGUGCUCCUCGGGAACAGCGUAAAAGCGAAGGAGAAGAGCGCUGAUUGGUUAUUAAUGUCUCGUACAGUUGUACGGGUUUAGAGGCGUACAAAUAUCGGGGACUUUGACGGCACAUAUAUUGGGUGAACUAGGUGCAUUCGUACACAACGUGCACCGCUGACUAUGGGAAUACAUUGAAGUAGGGGUGGCAAUCCAACUCGCUGCUCGCUCCUAUUCGGCUCGAUAACAGCUCGAAUACAUAUAUUUUAUAUUUAUAUAAUUUAUUUAAUUUAUAUUUUUAUAUAUAAAUUAAUAAAUAAUUAUAUAUAAUAUAUAUUUUUAUUAUUUAAUUUUUAGCAAAAUAAAAAUAUAAAUGCGAGCUUAAUUAUAAAAAAACUCAUUUAUAUGUAAAGUUUCAACUAUUACAUCAAAGUUUAAUNGAGGAGGAUCUUCGUUCCGGUGCUCCUCGGGAACAGCGUAAAAGCGAAGGAGAAGAGCGCUGAUUGGUUAUUAAUGUCUCGUACAGUUGUACGGGUUUAGAGGCGUACAAAUAUCGGGGACUUUGACGGCACACAUAUUGGGUGAACUAGGUGCAUUUGUACACAACGUGCACCGCUGACUAUGGGAAUACAUUGAAGGGCUCAUCGACGGUAUUAAAAGAUGCACCGGGUUCACACCAUAAGUUCUUAGAAUUUUCAGGCAACAUUCAUAUAUAAAAUCUAUAAUAAUAUUAACAAUAUUAUACCCUCUGAGCACUUGAGUCUUGCGUAAAUAAUUAAUACACUUUAUGAGAAAAAUAUUUUAAUUUAUAUAUUAUUUCUAUAAAAAUAUAAAAAUAAUUAAUAGAAAAUUACAAUGUAAAUAUAAGUGAAAAUUAUAUAUUAGUAAAUGAGCAAAAUAUUUGCUCAUUUGAAAAAGAGUCGGUUUCCAUUGAAGAUUCAACAAUUAAUGAGACUACACUAGUUUGCCAAUCUUAAUUGUUUAUUAUGGACUACUAAUUUUGGAAGCAAAAUUUUUACUAUCUAUUUCUUAUACAUGAGGUACAUUUAAUCAUUGAUUUUUAGCAUAAUUAAUUUGUGUCGUCUAAUAUAAACAGUGUAAAUUAAUUUCGUUAUAAUUCAGCUAUAUAGCGAAUUCUAUAUAUUAGGUUGUACGCCAGUCAAAUCUCUAAAACGUCUAUUAUGUUAUGAUAUCCACUAAUAAUUAUGCAACAUAACAGUUUAUACCAAACACCUAAUUUAAUCUUAUAUUUUCAGAAAUUUCGGAAAUAUUGAAUGAAUUAUUUAAUUUUAUUGUUUAAUUAUUUUUAACUUAUAAUUGUAAGAAAUCAUGCCAACUUAUCUAGAUUAUCUUAGAUGUAGUUGUAAAUUUUACACCUAACUUAUCUAAAAGCCACCAUCCGUAUUCUUGUCUUAUGAAUUUUUGUUAAUACUAAAUCUCAAAAUAAUAAUAAUAAUUAAUAAUAAUAAUAAUAAAUAAUAAAUAAUAAACCAUUUGAUGGUGAGUUAAAAAUAUAUAUUCUAGUUAUAGUGUACAAGUAGCAUCUUUCUUUCAAUUUUUUUAUACUGAUUAAUCAGGUCAAAUUUCAAUGGUAGAGUAAGUGAUACAAACAUAAUGGAUUGUGAUAGAUUUGGGGCAUCUCCUACUCUUCGUCAUGUUUUAAAAUAGGACGAUUUCAAAAUAAAUUAAUUUUUGUCUUAUUUUUUACUAUCAUUUACUAUUCCACAUGAACUGGUUGAGAUAGAAACAAAUUUUUUACGAAUUAAGUUGAUUCAAGAAAAGGAAAGCAUCUCCCAUCCCUAUUCCAUCUCGUCAUCCAUGGAUUUGAAGUGGAUUGUUUAUUUUAUGAAAGUAAUUUUCAGCAUAAAAAAUUUAAUAAAUAUCAUCGGUGUGUUUUUCUUUAUUUAUUGAUUAAUUAGCUAAUGAUAAUUAUUUUUUGCAUUAAAAAAGAGUUAAUAAUUUAACGUGUUAUCCGUUUUAUUCUUUUCUUAUUAAAAAUAAACUUAGCUGAAAUGUGAAGUUUUUAGACUUCAAAUUUUUUAUUAUUAUUUUUUUUUACUAAUCCGCGUUAGGCGGCGGGUGAAUCUAUGCGAUUAAUUGUAAAUUUUGGAUCAUUUUGAUGUUUAUCGGAUGCCCGGAUAGGUCCGACCCUUUUGGUGCAUUAAACCCCGAGAAAGGGCAAAAGGAAAAUUGGGUUCACCGGUUCAGCGACUCGCGCGUUUCGAACCGGCGAUUAACGUUUUUGUUUUUCCCCUCGCCGGUCCAAGCUCCCGCAAAAACCGACCCCAUUGUUAAUGGAGGGCGACGGAGAAGCGCGAACCCGGAUGGACGCCGCCGCGGCGAAGGAGGAUGAACCGGCUCCGCCCCCCUCCGACCCGGUCCAGGAGAACAUCCUCCCUGGUCCGGCUCAAAAUCCGGUCGAACCGGAUCCUCCCCCCGCCAUGAACCGCGGCGAGAUCGUCAAUGCCCUAGAAGUGCUGGAGAGGGACUCCGCCGCCAUUGCCGAGAGCUUCUCCUCUCUCUUCUCCUCCCUCCGCCUCGCUCUCUCCGAGGUUCCCCUUCCUCUUCCUCUCUCUCUCGCUACUCCUUCCGCGUGUUUCGAUUCAAAUUAGGUCACAUGAUAAGCAAUUGUAGCCACAAUUUUGUACGCAACAAGCUCGAUGUUUCCAGUAAUUCGCAUUACGAAGUUGAUCAUCGCACGGUAUGAUGCGUUAUUUGUUUCUAGAUUACAUUCAGGGGUAGUUGAAAUCAACAGAAGUUCGCAAAUUUUUAAUUUUGCAUCCGGUUAUUUUAUGUCUAUAAACAGAUCACUGUACAUUUCUUCAGGUUACUUCUACUUCUAUUGACAACAUGGAGUGUUUUAGCGAUGUCGUCGGCCGCCUGCAAGAAUCCGGUGAGUUGAACAGUGUGUCAUGCUGAUAUUCUUUUAAUUAUUAAGAGAAAUUUUGAUUUUAAUUGGAGAAUUGAUUUAGUUAUAGAAAGAUUAAGAUGUUGUUAGGCAGUAAGGUGUGAUCUGCAAAUCAAGAGCAGUUCAAAAAGGAAACCAUUUUAGAUUGUUAUUGCAGAUUCAUUGUCUUAUCGAGUGAUGAGAAGAUUUAGACAAAAUUCCUUGCACUUGUCCUUUUUGAACCGAAUAUAAUCUUGGGCAUAGUACUGAUGGACUGAAAAACUAAUGCCUACCUAUUGUAGUUUGAUUUUCGCUUAUUGCUAAUAUAUUUCUUUCUUUUCCACUUUAUUUUGCAGCACUUGAUGCUGCUUCCAAGGGAAACAAAUACAUAAAUUCAUGCUUGAGGUGAUUGAUUUAUAGGCAUUCCGGUGCUUUCAUGCUGGAUUACUUGUAAAUAUUUUAGCUUAACUAUUCGCAAAACCGCAACAAUUUACAUUCUUUGGUGAACUAUACACUCUUUAAUGUACUUGGCAUAUUGCCAAAUACAGUGUGUAAAAGCUUUGCAUGUUGGUGAGAAAUGUUCUUUUGUUCAACAUGCUAUAACUGUUUCGCUUACAAUUUAACAUUGAUAAUAUAACUGUUAUGACAUCAUCAAUUUUCUUUGUUUUCUUCUAGAUAAAUGAAACCAUUAUAAUUUUUUGUUUCAUGUAGGAUAUCUUUUUAUUAGAGUACUACGACAACCUGCAUGUUUUUAUUAUGCUGCAAUUUACCACAGAACUGUGCUUAUUUGUUUCAUGUGCAUGUAUUUUUAUGACAAGUGCAUGCUUUUCCAUUAAGAGUAUUACGAAAGUUACUUAAGUUUUGUUUCUUGGAAAAGUUACCAUUUGCAUUUCUUAUGCUGCAAUUUACCACAGAAUUCUGCUUAUGUGGUUCCCCUUUGUUGCGAGCAACAGGUUGAAUGAGGAAAUGAAAGGCUUGGAAAGUUUAUCCAUGCAACUGUAUCCUUUUCUUCAUUUGUUUGUUUUGAUUACUACUCUCUGUACUCUUAGUGCAAAGCCAUGAUAAGUGGGAAUUUUUAUGUUGAUUGAACUAUUAAACAUCUAGAAGUGUAACCCCUGCUUAGGUGUGAUGCACAUAAAUGAUAGUGGAAACAAGGAAAAAUAUGUGAGCUUAAUUAUCUUGCUGCCGAUGUUCAUGUGCUUUUCUCUACUUUGCUCCUUUAUGAUCAUUAAGCAUUAGUAGCCUUUCUAUCAAACUUUUCAGAAAUUAAAAUGUCAGUGGAACCUUAUUAUUCUUGGCAUUUAUCAUUUUUUGCUAUUCGACCAGUUCUUCAAGCGAAUGGAAAGCGAAUUAGCUAUGAACGAAUAUUGUAGUUUUUUCUGUCAUAAAGCAGUAACAGCUAUUUCAAUAAACUGACAUCUUGCUUUUUGUUAGUAUCAGUUAGAUAAGCAAAAAUCAUAAAACUAUGAAUAAUUAUAAUCAAUUAUGGAUCUGAGUAUUCUGGAAUCUUCAAUACAAGGUAUCAAACUUGUUGUGGACUCUGUCUUUCAUGUGCACUGAGAAAUAGAUGUUUAAUUCACUGUAUCAUGCCUUGCAUAGCAUGUAUUGCAUACAAAGUAGAAUUGCAUUAUGCAGUGAAGAAAACCGUUAGCUAGCGGAUGACCACUUGCCUCUGGACGCAUCCAAAUAAGUGGCCUAUAUUAUUUCUAAACAAUCUGUCUGGGGUUUGAAAACUUUUCAUUUAUAAGAGCAAACUGGCACUACUAUUUACCUUUUACUGUUUGGUUUGCGUGAUAUGAUUUUAUUUUUUUUUGGCCUAAACUUGUUUGAUUUCUUGAUUAUUUUAAAGAAAGAUCUUACGGAAGAACGUUGAUUCGCUGGACCUGGCUGUGAACAGACUGCUUCGCCUCCCAUAAUCACUUGAAACUAUUUUUUCACAUGUUAAUGUUCUUUCUACAUGCAGCAUUGUGCUCCUGUUGCAUAUGUACAUGACUUUUUUGCUAAGAGUCGUCGAUGACUCUUUUAUUCACAAGGUACGUUCGCCAGUUAAAUUGUGGGACCAAAUCGUGUUGAUUUGAGGCUUUGUUUGUAUCUGAAAAGAUUUUUAUCUCGGCUUUUUUUGGAAUUAGCCCCCUGAAAAAAAUUUAUUUUAAAAAUAGUCUUAGUAAAUUUAAAUUUGCAAAAAUAGUCCUGGCCCUUCCACGUAGGCGUCACGUCAGCGCUAUGCUGGCCGAGCUGGGCCAGAUAGUUAAGUUAAACAUGGUGAACCAUUUACCGUAUCUAAACACGAUGAAUGGUUCACCGUGUCUGGGAAAAGGGAAGGGAAAGAAAAAACAUACGUAUUAUGAAAAAGAUAAGUAGAAAAAUAUACAUGUUAUGAAAAAGAUAAGUAUGGAACACGGCGAACGAAUGUUUGAAUACGGUGAAUGGUUUACCGUGUUCAACUGGCACCUGCAUGGCAAGAUCAGGAUUAUUUUUGAUUUUUGCAAAUUUAAAUUUGCUGGGAUUAUUUUUAAAAUAAAUUUUGUUCAGGAGGCUAAUUGUAAAAAAAAGCCUUUUUUUAUCUUAAUUCAGCUUUAUUAAAAUAUCGCACUAGGAUAUUUUUGUGCGAACUAUUUACCUAUCUAGCUUCUUUACAAAAAAAUAUUCCCUAUCUAGCCUCCUUUUGAAAAAUAUUCCCCAUCUAGCCUCAUCUUCAAAGAUUAGAGAAAAAAGAGAAAUUAAUUCCUUUAAUAUAUAUUAAGGGGUUAAGUGGAGAGAUUAUCUUUUUCUCUCUUCUCUUCCAUUAAUUUUUAUAUCAAAAUAAUCUUGAUCCCAUUCGGCCUAUAAAUUUUAUGUUUUAAUGUAUUAAAACCUAAAGUACGAGAAAUCCAAAUAGUUUUGGAUCAGAACUAUUAUAAUCAAUUCCUUCCGAACCAUGUAUAAUAUUUCUAUCAAAAUAUAAAAAGAUUGAUGCGCUAUAUAAAAAUUUUCUAUUUGGAAAUAAAUCGAUAUGAGAUAAAUUAUACGCAAAAAUUAGAGAGUGAGAAGGGAUCUCGGGAAAUAGGAGAGGAGAGAGAAAAAGAUAAUCUCCCCCACUUAAUCCCUUAAUAUAUAUUAAAAGUAUUAAUUUCUCUUUUUUUUUCUAAUCUUUGAAAAUGAGGCUAGAUGGGAAAUAUUUUUCAAAAGAAGGCUAGAUAGGGAAUAUUUUUUUAUAAAGAGGCUAGAUAGGUAAAUAGUUCUUUUUGUGCUGGUGUGAGCAAUUUCUUACGGUGAAAGGUGACAAGAGAUCCUCAGAUUCCUUCGCAGUCUUAGCUGUAAAGUAGCUGUUGCGGGUGCCAACAAAGUGCGAUGUUAUUAACUUUGUUGUUUUCACUUUUCAUUGAUUGAUACAUGAAAGUUUAUUAAAUCUGGUCGUCGUUCGCUAGCUAGAUAUGAUCAGAUUAGAUGAACAUGAACGAUGAAGGGAAUGGUAUUUUCUUGUAUAAAUGAAGAGACAUUCUUAACUGCCUAUAUAAGGGGCAUGAACGGAUCACGGGCCCAGUAACGCAACCUAUGGCCAUGAGCCUGAUGUUGUUUUAAAUUUGGGCUAUGUUACUUUGAUUGGUUUUUAAAAUUUGGGUUUUGAAUUUGCAUCUCUCUUCUUCUAACGUAAUUAAGUUUGGUCUCCAAAAUUGCCAUUUUUGAAGGUUAAAUAUGUUUUCUUGGGGCAAUUUCAAAUCUAACCUUCUAAAACUACAAAAUAUCAGAUCUUAAAGUAUCAUCAAUAACUGUCUAAACAUUCCAAACUAUUAUUAAUAUCAUUGUAAAAUUUAAACAUAUAAAAUUAUCAUCACUACCUCUUUAAAUCUGUCUGAGUGGACUCUGCAUACCGAUGAACGCUGCAUGGCACCACGGUCACAUGACUUGCACCUGAUGCACUAUUUAUUCACUCAUUAAUUUUUUUUUACUUUAAUUUCUUAGGAUUUAGAAUUUAAAAUUUAGUGUUUUAGGAUGCAGGAUUUUAGGAUGAUGCAUUAAAAAACUAAAAUUUUUUUUAAAGUUCUAAAUCUCAAUCUUAAAAGUCAAAAUAUUAAAUCCUAAAUUUCAAAUUAUAAAAAAUUAAAAUAAAACAAUUACUAGUAUAUGGUGCAUCCCGUGUGUGCACAGAAUAAUAUUUAUAUUUUGCAAAAACAGAGAGUUGCCUCCUAAUGGUGUAUAAUAAUAAUAUCCAUUAAUUAGGAGGCAACCCGAAAACAUUUUUUUGUCCCUUUAAAGGGUACUGAAGAAACGAAUGGUACGGCGCUACUGAUAAUUGUGCAUUUGGCUUUCAAAAAAAAAAAAAAAGGAAAAAAAAGAAAAAAAAAGAAAGUGAUCAAUUGCGCAUUUGGGGGAGAAAGAGAUCAAAAGGGUUAUGAUUUACUGGUCAAACGUGGUUUGCUUCAGGACAAAUCCUUUGUGGUACAUGUGUAGCAAGAUGCAUAGACCCAUGUGAAUUUUACUUUUUUUUUUUUUUUUAAGAGAUAGAUAGCACGCUACUCGCUUCGUUUAUUUCAUUUAGAAAUAAACUUAACUAAAAAUGUGAAUCAACUAGGAUUCGAACUUAGGACUUCGAGUACCAACCACUAAGCCUUUUGCCACUUGCUCUAGAAACGGUCAGUACCCAUGUGAAAUUUUACACUUAUUGGUUUUUUUUUUUUCUCUAUUCUCAAAUUUAUAAAAUGAAAUACUAUUAUUUUGCUAUUAACUUCAUAAAUAUCAUUUUGCUGGCAAAUAUUGUGGGAAAAGAAAAAUCUAUACUUCCUAUUCGUAUUUGGUAAGGGUUCCUUACCUAUUUGAUCUAACUAUACAAAAUAGUCAAAAUGGCUGAUUUGUUCAAUUAUUACAGUUAGAAUCACAUCUAAUUUAGUUUUUGUCCUCUUAAACUACAUAAGUGACGUAUUGAGUUUUCUUUAGUUUUUCAAACAACUCCUUUUUAUUGUUGUCGUUUAGACCGAAAACUACCGAAUUUGACUUACCGGCCAUAUUAACUUAUAGUAUUGUGUUAAGCUUGCACUUAAAAACGAUUGUGAUUCAAAGGCCAACUUUUUUGUUUUAUCACUCUUUUUAAUACUAAAAUCCAUAAGAUUGUAAUUACACAAUACUUAAAUAGAUUCUAAAUAUAGAAUUUCUCUACCUUAAAUGAAUUAAUGGCAAAGUUUACAUGACAACAAAAAAAGCAAUCAAUUAGUUUUAAAUUGAAGGAUGAUAUAACUGAUGUAGCAAUUGCAUCAAUUGAAAUUGAACGACUAAGAUUAACUCAAAGGGUCGUAUCAGCUUCUUUAUUCUUUUAAGAAAAAAAUGCUUCAUUCAAUAAAAAAAUAAAUUUAGCUAUAAAAUUUGAAAGCAGCUAAGGUCUCAAUAAGAACGAGAAAGACACGCACCUGCACACGCGCUCAAUAAGAAUGAGAAAGCCACACACCCAGACACACACGUGCGCGCGUAUCAGCUUCAGCGUUGUAAAGUUUCUAAUGUUCUCUACUUAUCUUAAUAAAAGAUCAGAAACAAAAAAUAAAGUUUUAAAAACUUUCAAAAAUAAUCUGUACAUUUUUCUCUCCAAACUACAGGCCUACAUAAAAUAUAUAUUUGAGUUUUAAAAAAACUUCCUCGAAUCUGUGCUCAACUGGGCCGGAAACUUUCGACAUUUAUGUCAGGGAGGGCUUUUUCUCAAUUUUAAUAAACAAAAUGGCCUUUUUUACCCCAAAAAAUGGCCUUUUUUAUUUCAAACAAAAAAGUUCUUUUUACCACAAAGAAACAAAAACAAAAUAAAUUCCAUAUGAAUGAGAAUUCCAGUUCCUCGUGUGGACUGGUAGGUGGAAGCACAUAGUUUAUUUAUAAUAUUAUGAAUUGGGAACCACCGAAGCCUCUCGCAUUNCUCUCUCUCUCUCUCUCUCUCUCUCUCUCUCUCCUUUUUUUUUAUUUUUUUUUCUCUCAAUAUUUAGUAUAAAAUUUUAUCGCAUUGGUCAAUCUUAUUUUUAAUAAUCAAUAUAAUAAAAUUAAAAUAUCAUCAAAUAGAUAUAAUUUAUAAUUAAUAAAAAAUUUAUAUAUAAAAAUUAAUAGAUUUUACCUUUAUAAUCAAAUAGUAUAAAUAAGGAAAAAUAUAUAAACUAAGUGUAUAAGAUAUGCUCAUAUAUUGUAGAAGAUAAGUUUUAACUUUAACAAGAUAAAACUAUCUAAUAUAAGGCUUAGUUUGAUAUUAAGGCUUAUCUAAUAUUAUUACAUAAAAUGGAAUUGGAGUAAAAGUAUAUGAAAAUAUGCUUCUGUGUCCUCUGGUGGGACCGCCAAAAAUAUAUCGUAACGAACUAAUCGCAAUAUUCAGAAGUGAAUAUUACAUACGGAAACCAAUAAAGUAUUUUCUCAUUGUGUUUUCUCACCGCAUAUAAUGCAAUCUUCUCACAAUCCCAAAUGAAAUCUAAGUCAUCAAACUUUAGUUUUUUAGUUAAAAAUUUAUUUAUAUCUUUUUUUUUUUAUUUUUGUCUAUUUUUUAAUAGUCAAUAUAACAAAAUUAAAAAUUUACCUGAUAAAUAUAAUCUAUAAUUAAUAAAAAUACAAAAAUUAAUAGAUUUUUACCUUUAUUCUAUAUCUAUAUUUAUAUUAUAUCAUUACACUAAUUGGGAACUUAAAGAAGCCUUCUCUUAUUUUGGAGUGGUUGCGGGGCCUACAUAUUUUUUUCAAGAAUUAAUUGCACAUUGAUUCAGAUCUUUCCACUAUUUCUUAUUUUAAUCUCUAACCUUUUUCCUUUUCACUAUUUUUUUUAUUUUGAUUUCUAAUCUUUUUUUUUAAUAGCACUAUUAAAAGAGGUGUUAAAAUUAACAAAAUUGUCAUGUCGGCAUUUACUUGACUUAUUUGGCUUUCUUUUUUUAUUUGUAAAUUCCACCUUGAUGAUAAUGGAAAAAUAUUAUUCAUCUUUUUUAAUAUUUUAAUGAGCUUUUGUUUUAUUUUAAAUUAAUUUAUUCAUUUUACUUAUUAGAUUUAAAUAUUUUUAGAAAGAAAUAUACUUUAAUUUUAUUUUUUAAUUUUUAAUUAUUCGAUACUAAAAUAAAUAAUAUUGAAAAAUAUUAAUACAUAAUAGAAAAAAAAAAAGUUAAUAGUUAUAAUAAUUUAUUGUUGUAUUAUCCUCCCGCAGCAUCGCGCGGGGCUCUUAACUAGUUUUUAUUAAGGUAUAGAUAGAGACCGUACAAUAAGUUGAGGUGAAAUUAAUUAACUUUAAUUUUGUGUCAUUUGCAUUAAUUACAGUACUAUUGAUGUUGUUUUAUUUUCCAUUGAUAAGUUUUGAGCUUUAGUUUAUUUUGACUCGAAUGUUUUCUGUCAAUUUAAUCAAAAGUAUUAUUAGAGCAAAAUGUUAAUUAUUAGGUACUAUAACUGUUGACAAAAUGCGCAGUUUCAAUGGCUCGAAAAAUGAACAAAGUUAUUAAUUACGAAAACUAUUGUUGAAUCAUGAAAGAUAUUAUUCGAUUGACUAAUGCAGCUCACCUAUAAUUGAUAAUUAAGUUCUUUCAAGGAAGAAGAUAUAUAAGAUGUGGUUCACUCUACUCGUUCCAAAAGCAAAUUUAUUAAAUGUGAUUAAAAGAAGAAAAAAUUGGUGGCUAGUAAUAAUUCACGUAAACAUCCCCAAAGCCACUGGAUCGAAUUGAUAAAUCUGUUGAAUAUACUUUUAAGUGGUUUGUAAUUUUACAACUCGCCUCAUAUGUAAUAAAAUCAACUUAGAAACCAUUUUAUUGUUCGUCCCUGGAGAACAAUACCAUAUAAGUUUCAAACUAUACUAUAAUUUACAAAGCUAGAGUUUUUUUUUGUGUUUUUUGUUUUUUGCUUUUCCGUAAAAAAAAGAAAAAACACAUUAAUAUAAAAAAUCCCACCGUGUGAUGGUGAUUAGAAAAUAAUUGUAGUAAAAUGAACUUCUAAAAUCGUACCAUGUAUAUAAGCAGACCAAAAGAAUUAGUUAGAAAAAAAAAAACAGAGGGUAGCAUAAAAAUUUCUAAGAAUGGAUCAUGGAUGAUAUUGUUUUAUAUUUAUACUAAUCUUAAAGCUAUAAUUUGCCAUUUUGCUUCUAAUAACUCGUUAUCUUAAAACAUCAUAAGACAGGGACAUGUGAUAGUGUCCAACUUUUUCUUAAACAUAAAAAUAAUAAUGUCCACUUAUUAAGUUAGCUGCACGGAAAGGUACGCUGAUUUUGACUUCGUCAUUGAGCCGUCGCUUUUUUUUUUUUUUUUUGAGAAAUAGGUAGUAUACUAUCCGCUUCAUUCAAUAAGAAGAUAAAUUUAGCUAUAUAGAAUGAGACAGCCAAGACCUCCGAGAGAAAAAACAAAUAAAAGAAAAUUGGAAAGCAAACUAGGUACAAAAUACACGUCGAGAAAAUAGGCAGUACAACUCAGACGUUCCCUAUCUCAACAAAAGAUGGCCCACUCCUCCGCCAUUAUCUCAACACAGUGGCAACCAGAGGAAACUCGCUUUUUCACUUCUACAUUUCAUUGUGUAUAUAUAUACAUAGAGAGAGAGAGAGAGAGAGAGAGAAUUGAGCUAGAAUACUCUCAAAAGCACCAAGGGAGUGUUGCUUUUGAGUUUUUAGCCAUUGAAUAGAGAGAUGUAGGGUUGAGAUGAUGGUGGUAGGUGGUGAUAAGUGGAAUAAUGUUUGAUCCAAAGGCUAUUAGUAAUCAAGAAGUAGAUUCAAGGGGUAGAAACUUUGAAGGUUGGUGUUUCUAAGAGUAUUCUAGCUCAAUUAUAUAUAUAUAUAUAUAUAUAUAUGUAUCUUCAUCAUCAAAUAGAUAUAAUUUAUAAUUAAUAAAAAAUUUAUAUAUAAAAAUUAAUAGAUUUUACCUUUAUAAUCAAAUUGUAUAAAUAAGGAAAAAUAUAUAAACCAAAUGUAUAAGAUAUGUUCAUAUAUUGUAUAAGAUAAAUUUUAACUUUAACAAGAUAAAACUAUCUAAUAUAAGGCUUAGUUUGAUAUUAAGGCUUAUCUAAUGUUAUUACAUAAAAUGAAAUUGGAGUAAAAGUAUAUGGAAAUAUGCUUCUGUGUCCUCCGGUGGGACCGCAAAAAAUAUAUCGUAACGAACUAAUCGCAAUAUUCGGAACUGAAUAUUACAUACGGAAACAAAUAAAGUAUUUUCUCAUUGUACUUUCUCACAGCACAUAAUACAAUCUUCUCACAAUCCCAGAUGAAAUCUAAGUCAUCAAACUUUAGUUUUUUAGUUAAAAAUUUAUUUAUAUCUUUUCUUUUUUGUUUUUGUCUAUUUUUUAAUAAUCAAUAUAACAAAAUUAAAAUUUUACCUGAUGAAUAUAAUCUAUAAUUAAUAAAAAUACAAAAAUUAAUAGAUUUUUACCUUGAUUCUAUAUCUAUAUAUAUAUUUAUUUAUUUUUUAUAUUUAUAUUAUAUCAUUACAACUAAUUGUGAACUUAAAGAAGCCUUCUCUUAUUUUGGAGUGGUUGCAGGGCCCACAUAUUUUUUUUUAAGAAUUAAUUGCACAUUGAUUCAGAUCUUUCCACUAUUUCUUAUUUUAAUCUCUAACCUUUUUCCUUUUCACUAUUUUUUUUAUUUUGAUUUCUAAUCUUUUUUUUUAAUAGCACUAUUAAAAGAGGUGUUAAAAUUAACAAAAUUGUCAUGUCAGCAUUUACUUGACUUAUUUGGCUUUCUUUUUUUAUUUGUAAAUUCCACCUUGAUGAUAAUGGAAAAAUAUUAUUCAUCUUUUUUAAUAUUUUAAUGAGCUUUUGUUUUAUUUUAAAUUAAUUUAUUCAUUUUACUUAUUAGAUUUAAAUAUUUUUANNNNNNNNNNNNNNNNNNNNNNNNNNNNNNNNNNNNNNNNNNNNNNNNNNNNNNNNNNNNNNNNNNNNNNNNNNNNNNNNNNNNNNNNNNNNNNNNNNNNNNNNNNNNNNNNNNNNNNNNNNNNNNNNNNNNNNNNNNNNNNNNNNNNNNNNNNNNNNNNNNNNNNNNNNNNNNNNNNNNNNNNNNNNNNNNNNNNNNNNNNNNNNNNNNNNNNNNNNNNNNNNNNNNNNNNNNNNNNNNNNNNNNNNNNNNNNNNNNNNNNNNNNNNNNNNNNNNNNNNNNNNNNNNNNNNNNNNNNNNNNNNNNNNNNNNNNNNNNNNNNNNNNNNNNNNNNNNNNNNNNNNNNNNNNNNNNNNNNNNNNNNNNNNNNNNNNNNNNNNNNNNNNNNNNNNNNNNNNNNNNNNNNNNNNNNNNNNNNNNNNNNNNNNNNNNNNNNNNNNNNNNNNNNNNNNNNNNNNNNNNNNNNNNNNNNNNNNNNNNNNNNNNNNNNNNNNNNNNNNNNNNNNNNNNNNNNNNNNNNNNNNNNNNNNNNNNNNNNNNNNNNNNNNNNNNNNNNNNNNNNNNNNNNNNNNNNNNNNNNNNNNNNNNNNNNNNNNNNNNNNNNNNNNNNNNNNNNNNNNNNNNNNNNNNNNNNNNNNNNNNNNNNNNNNNNNNNNNNNNNNNNNNNNNNNNNNNNNNNNNNNNNNNNNNNNNNNNNNNNNNNNNNNNNNNNNNNNNNNNNNNNNNNNNNNNNNNNNNNNNNNNNNNNNNNNNNNNNNNNNNNNNNNNNNNNNNNNNNNNNNNNNNNNNNNNNNNNNNNNNNNNNNNNNNNNNNNNNNNNNNNNNNNNNNNNNNNNNNNNNNNNNNNNNNNNNNNNNNNNNNNNNNNNNNNNNNNNNNNNNNNNNNNNNNNNNNNNNNNNNNNNNNNNNNNNNNNNNNNNNNNNNNNNNNNNNNNNNNNNNNNNNNNNNNNNNNNNNNNNNNNNNNNNNNNNNNNNNNNNNNNNNNNNNNNNNNNNNNNNNNNNNNNNNNNNNNNNNNNNNNNNNNNNNNNNNNNNNNNNNNNNNNNNNNNNNNNNNNNNNNNNNNNNNNNNNNNNNNNNNNNNNNNNNNNNNNNNNNNNNNNNNNNNNNNNNNNNNNNNNNNNNNNNNNNNNNNNNNNNNNNNNNNNNNNNNNNNNNNNNNNNNNNNNNNNNNNNNNNNNNNNNNNNNNNNNNNNNNNNNNNNNNNNNNNNNNNNNNNNNNNNNNNNNNNNNNNNNNNNNNNNNNNNNNNNNNNNGCUGUUAUACUAUCGGUAGCACGAAAUAUUAAGUUGUUUUCAAUAUUACGAUUCUAAAUCAACAAUCGGCUUCAUUAGAUUUGAUCUACACCAUUAAAAAUAUUUGAAAAACUAAAUUUCAUAAUUUAUCGACAUCAUUUACCUAUCAAACGAGUAGUCUAAAAAUGAACGGCUAAAAAUAAGACUUGAAUUUAAGAUCAGAGGUACUGAUCUUACUCUAAAUAGUGAAAAAAAAUUUUAUAAAAGAUUUAUCAAAUUUGGAUUGUUUUAUAAUGUUAAAUUCACAAACGCAUCACAACGACCAUUAAAAUUGUCAAUUUUGAGAUAUUUUGAUCACUUGCCAAAUGAUGUCAAAAAAUUAUAAAAUUUAGUUUCCAAAUACUUUUAACAGUGUAGAUCAAGUCUAACGGAGCCGAUCAUCGAUUUAGAAGCCGCACCAUUAAAAACAAUUAGGUAGUAUGGAGGCCUCCAUGCUACAUAUAGUAUACCGGCCUAGCUAUAUAUAUAUAUAUAUAUAUAUAUAUAUAUAUAUAUAUAUAAAGAGAGAGAGAGAGAGAGAGAGAGAUGAGCUGGAAUAUUAUUGAUAGUAUUUAGCCCCUUUUGCUGUUAAGUUUUUAACCAUUGGAUCAGAAAUUGUAUGAUUAGGAUGAUAUACUUAUCUACGCAAACUAUAAUUUGAUAGUUUUGGAUGGCAUACGUGUCAGCCUCUCUUACUUCCUGAAAAUAUAAUUCUCCCAUCUAUUGGAAACGUAUAUUCUCAAAUUUUUCUUUCUUGAAAAUCUGCCAAAUCUUCCCUCCUUGGGAAUCUACCAAAUUUUUUAAAAAUCUACCAAAUUCUCCAUCCUUAGAAAUCUACCAAUUUUUUUGAAAACUCCCUCUCUUAGAAUAGUACCAAAUCUUCCCCCUCCUUCUUGGGAAAGUAAUAUAAAAAUCUACUUAGGGGGUUUGCGGGGAAGGAGGAAAAAAGAGGAGGCCAGGGCAGCUGCGCUUUUUCCUCAUGGGGUGGUGAUGGAGGAGGAGGAAAAGGCAAAGAUGAUGGCCUCUGCGGUGCUGAAGAGAUGAGUCGUGUAGGGUCUCGGACAAUGUAUGAUAUCCGCUUCUCUUCAUACUUAGUGUUUUACGUCUUUUUUUUUCAUGAUUAUCUCAUUAGAUUUGCUAAAAAAUAGUGUUUUUAAUGUAUUUUUUGCUAAAAAAAAAAUUUUUAAGAGAAAAAAAAUUAUUUUAUUUAUUGUGGCUUCAUUUUGAGUAAAUCUCUAAUAUAUAUAUAAUUUUUUAUUAUUAUUUAUUAAUUAUUAUUGUAUAUUUAUUGUAAUUUUUUUUUCCGCAGCAAAGCGCGGGUUUUUAACUAGUAAUAUUUAAUCUAAUGGUUAGAAACUAUCAAAUUAAUUGAUGCAAAAGCUAAAAACUUAAUAGCAAAAUAGACAAAUAUUAUUAAUAGUAUUCUAGCCCAACUCUCUCUCUCUCUCUCUAUAUAUAUAAAGAGAGAGAGAGAGAGAGAGAGAGAGAGAGAGAGAGAAUUGAGCUAUUAUAUUUUUAAAAGUACUAAGUCAUUGGUAAUUGUAGAUUUUUAGCCUUUGAAUUAAAGGACGUGCAAUUAGGAUGAUAGUGAUUCCUUAGAUUGAGUGAGUGGUUAGUUGAAUAGUAUGAUUUAACGGGUGAAAAUGAGCAAAAUGAUAAAUCUAACAGCAAAAAAUUUAUUAGUAUCAAGUGCGCGUUUUGCAUGUUUAAAAGUACUAUAGUCGGACUCUCUCUUUCUAUAUAUAUUUAUUUAUUAGGGUUAAUUAUAUACAUCUCUCUAUAAGUAUAUCGAAUAGCAUAUAUAUACCUACAAAGUUUAAAUUUUUAUUUUUAUCCCUUAUAAAUGCCUUAAUAUUUUCAAAUAUACCCUGCUGUUAGUAUUCGUUAUAAAAAUAUAGUUAAGUCUGAGUAAAAUACUUAACUCUGGUUAAUAAAUGAGUUAAAUUCUAUUCUCAUAUUAUUAAAUAAAAUAUUUUUUAAGAGGAAAUUUCUACAUAAUUUAAGAAUAUGUUUGUAGGGCGAAAAUGUUAUUUCAUUUAUCUGCUAUCAAAAAAUAAACAGUGCUUUAACGAUGACAAAUCAAAAGAACAAACAUGAAUAUCACUAAAUUUAUAUAAGAAUAAAAAUAAAAAUUUAAACUUUGUUUGGAUAUAUUUGUUAUUUGAUAUGCUUACAGAGAGCUGUACACAAUUAACUCUAUAUAUUAUUUAAUAAUUACUUGAUCUUCUAUUUAGAAUGGAUGGUGAGGUGUUAGUGGAUCUAAUAUAAUUAUUGGCAAAGGGAAACGUAUAUAGAAGUUGGUCUAUGAUACAAAACAUACGAUCUAUUUAUGCAGCUUUAAAAUUCGUUCCUUCACAGGUAAACUCUAGUACUCGUGGUCACGUGCCCAGGGGUGAAACGAGUGGGCUCCAAACUCUCUGCGUUAACUCUUCGGACCCUUCAGUUUGAUCUAGUGCCAGCUCAAACAUGGGAUCGACAGAUUCCGAGAAAUUAUUUGCUGCAUCUGGUGUAACUUUUUCAGAUAAUAUCACAAUAGCUUAAGCUUUUAGAGAUCAGCAGUCGUUUUACAUUAUAUAUUUACCAUUUUGAUGUAGUAUGAGAAUGAAAUAAAUAUAUAUAAGUUCAGAUGUGAGGAGUCAAAUAAUUAAUGUUUUAUAAAAACUUUAAGUUUUUAAAGAUGAACUAUCAUAGAACACAACAUGUAAGUUAAAAUUUGAUUUUACGAGUUCUAUUGUACAAUUUUAGAGAUAGAGCAUGUGAAAUGUGCUUACAUAUACAGUGCAGGUAGUAAUUUCUCAUACAUGUAGAUUGGUAAAUUGAACCCGGUUUACACAUAAAAGUUGAACGUAAAUCUUAUAUCCCUUCAUCUAAAAGCUAAUUUUACACACUAGACUUAUCAAACCUUCUAUUUCUACGAGAAAAAAAUAUUAUCUUUACACUUCUUAUGAUGGGUGAACAUCUUAUAUCCUUGAUAGAAGGAUUCAUACCGCCCUUCUGAGAAUUUUUUAAAAAGUGGGUUAAUGUGAACCAUAAUUAAGAGGUCUAUAAUUAGCAUAACAAAUUUUGAUAUUGCCUCUCGAAAAUAAUAUUUAUAUAUAUAAUAUACUUUGUUUAAUUAUGACCUGUUGGUUGCUAGUUGCUACUGGAAUGUAGUAAAUGCUAGCUAUCUGCAGCUACAUGAUGGCAUGCUCGUGAAGUGGAGUCUGCGUGCCUGCAAGAUUCUCGAAAUGGCAUAUUCAUUUCCACCUCUGAAGAAAACAUAGAAAUAAAUGUCUGAGGCCAAUGUUGGCUACAGUAAUUCGUACAAUGAUAACGUAUCGCAUUUAGAAGUACUUGGUUGCUAAGAAUAAAAAAGUUUGAACUUUGAUUUUGAGAGAAAAACGCACGUCGUAUAUUAGUAGUCUCUCUCCCAAUGCUUACGGAGAAAAUUAGCUUAGAGAAGGAGAGAGAAUAGAAUUUGAUGUAAUCAACGAUUUAAGUAUUCAUCGGUACGAAUUGUAUCUAUUAUGUCGUAUCAUGUCAAUAAAAUAUCGGCACAAUACAAUCUCAGUGUCAAUAGCACAACUCAAAACUCUCGAUUCUUUAAAUUAGUAAGUAAUUUUCUCAUCGAUUAUCCCUUCGGCAAGUGAAAAAGGGCUUAGUAGUUGGUAUUCAAGGUCUCUCAAGUUCGAAUCCUAAUUGAUUCAUAUUUCUAACUAAGUUUAUUUCUAAAUGAAAUAAACGAAGCGAGUAGCAUAUUAUCUUUCUCUCUUUUAAAAAAAAGUAAGUAAUUUUUUUAAUAAAGUUUAAAAAAUUUGAUAAAAAUAUAUAAUAAACAGUUAAAAUAUUUUAUUAGUAAAAAAAUAAAUAUUUCAUAUUAUUAUGUAUCGAUAAAUAUAUAUUUUUUUUAUUAUCGAUACAUAUCAAUAUGGUCUCGCGUAUACUGU